rnacentral:lncRNA from 1 species
AUAAGACUAGUAGCGGCAAGAAGAAUUGGCAACAUCUACGCCCACAACUGCUUUGUGUUCUACUCGUGCAUAGUAACUACGCAUAAAGCCCACAGGUCCCAGGAUCGCAACCUGGCUCUGAUACCACUGUUGGGGAUUGUAGCAGAAUUUUAAAAUUUCCUACGCAUCACCAAGAUCCAUCUAUGGAGUAUACUAGCAACGAGGGGAAAGGAGUGCAUCUACAUACCCUUGUAGAUCGCGAGCGGAAGCGUUCAAGUGAACGGGGUUGAUGGAGUCGUACUCGUCGUGAUCCAAAUCACCGAUGACCGAGUGCCGAACGGACGGCACCUCCGCGUUCAACACACGUACGGAGCAGCGACGUCUCCUCCUUCUUGAUCCAGCAAGGGGGAAGGAGAGGUUGAUGGAGAUCCAGCAGCACGACGGCGUGGUGGUGGAAGUAGCGGGGAUCUCGGCAGGGCUUCGCCAAGCUUCUGCGAGAGGGAGAGGUGUUGCAGGGGGAGAGGGAGGCGCCAGGGGCUGUAGUACUGCUGCCCUCCCUCCCCCACUAUAUAUAGGCCCCCCUGGGGAGGCGCCGGCCCUGGAUCCCAUCUACAAGGGGGGGCGGCCAGGGGGGAAACUUGCCCCCCAAGUCAGGUGGGGCGCCCCCCACCCCUAGGGUUUCCAACCCUAGGCGCGGGGGGAGGCCCAUGGGGGGCGCCCCAGCCCACUAGGGGCUGGUUCCCUUCCCACUUCAGCCCAUGGGGCCCUCCGGGAUAGGUGGCCCCACCCGGUGGACUCCCGGGACCCUUCCGGUGGUCCCGGUACAAUAUCGGUGACCCCCGAAACUUUCCCGGUGGCCGAAACUUGACUUCCUAUAUAUAAUUCUUCACCUCCGGACCAUUCCGGAACUCCUCGUGACGUCCGGGAUCUCAUACGGGACUCCAAACAACUUUCGGGUUUCCGCAUACUAAUAUCUCUACAACCCUAGCGUCACCGAACCUUAAGUGUGUAGACCAUACGGGUUCGGGAGACAUGCAGACAUGACCGAGACGCCUCUCCGGUCAAUAACCAACAGCGGAUCUGGAUACCCAUGUUGGCUCCCACAUGUUCCACGAUGAUCUCAUCGGAUGAACCACGAUGUCGAGGAUUCAAUCAAUCCCGUAUACAAUUCCCUUUGUCAAUCGGUACGUUACUUGCCCGAGAUUCGAUCGUCGGUAUCCCAAUACCUUGUUCAAUCUCGUUACCGGCAAUUCACUUUACUCGUACCAUAAUGCAUGAUCCCGUGGCUAACUCCUUAGUCACAUUGAGCUCAUUAUGAUGAUGCAUUACCGAGUGGGCCCAGAGAUACCUCUCCGUCAUACGGAGUGACAAAUCCCAGUCUCGAUCCGUGUCAACCCAACAGACACUUUCAGAGAUGCCCGUAGUGUACCUUUAUAGUCACCCAAUUACGUUGUGACGUUUGGUACACCCAAAGCACUCCUACGGCAUCCGGGAGUUACACGAUCUCAUGGUCUAAGGAAAAGAUACUUGACAUUGGAAAAGCUCUAGUAAACGAACUACACGAUCUUUUGUGCUAUGCUUAGGAUUGGGUCUUGUCCAUCACAUCAUUAUCCUAAUGAUGUGAUCCCGUUAUCAAGGACAUCCAAUGUCCAUGGUCAGGAAACCGUAACCAUCUAUUGAUCAACGAGCUAGUCAACUAGAGGCUCACUAGGGACAUGUUGUGGUCUAUGUAUUCACACAUGUAUUACGAUUUCCGGAUAACACAAUUAUAGCAUGAACAAUAGACAAUUAUCAUGAACAAGGAAAUAUAAUAAUAACCAUUUAUUAUUGCCUCUAGGGCAUAUUUCCAACAUCUAGAGGGGGCCGGCCCCCUCUCCCUUGCCCCUAUAAAUAGAGGGGAGGUGGGAGGGCAGCCGCAGCACAUCCAAGGCGCAGCCCUUCCCCUCUCCAACACCUCCUCCUCCUUCCACGGUGCUUGGCGAAGCCCUGCCGGAGUACCACGCUGCUCCAACACCACCACGCUGUCGUGCUGCUGCUGGAGUUGUCUUCCCCAACCUCUCCCUCUCUCCUUGCUGGAUCAAGGCGUGGGAGACGUCACCGGGCUGCACGUGUGUUGAACGCGGAGGCGCCGUUGUUCGGUGCUUAGAUCGGAAUCAACCGCGAUCUGAAUCGCUACGAGUACGACUCCUUCAUCUGCGUUCUUGUAACGCUUCCGCAUCGCGAUCUUCAAGGGUAUGGAGAUGCACUCCCCUCUCUCUCAUUGCUAGUCUCUCCAUAGAUUGAUCUUGGUGAUGCGUAGAAUUUUUUUUAAUUUCUGCAAUGAUCCCCAACACUUUACUAGUGUUCAUAGUAGCCCCUGGGUAUUUGAUACUGGUUCAGUUGCUAUGAUUAGUAACUCGAAACAGGAGUUACAAAAUGAACAAAGACCAGUUGAGGGCAAGGUGACGAUGUGUGUUGGAAGUGAUUCCAAGGUUGAUAGGAUCACGAUCGCACACUCCCUUUACCUUCAGGAUUAGUGUUGAACCUAAAAUAAAUAUUACUUGGUGUUUGCGUUGAACAUAAUAUGAUGGAUCAUGUUCAUUGCAAUACGGUUAUUCAUUUAAGUCAAAGAAUAAUUGUUAUUCUGUUUACAUGAAUAAAACCUUCUGUGGUCAUACACCCAAGGUGAAUGGUUUAUUGAAUCUUGAUCGUAGUGAUACACAUAUUCAUAAUAUUGAUGCCAAAAGAUGCAAAGUUGAUAAUGAUAGUGCAACAUAUUUGUGGCACUGCCGUUUAGGUCAUAUUGGUGUAAAGCGCAUGAAGAAACUCCAUGCCGAUGGCUUUUGGAAUCACUUGAUUAUGAAUCACUUGAUGCUUGCGAACCAUGCCUCAUGGGCAAGAUGACUAAGACUCCGUUCUCCAGAACAAUGGAGCGAGCAACUGACUUAUUGAAAAUAAUACAUACUGAUGUAUGCGAUCCGAUGAGUGUUGAGGCUCGCGGGGGGUGUCGUUAUUUUCUGACCUUCACAGAUGAUUUGAGCAGAUAUGGGUAUAUCUACUUGAUGAAACAUAAGUCUGAAACAUUUGAAAAGUUCAAAGAAUUUCAGAGUGAAGUGGAAAAUCAUCGUAACAAGAAAAUAAAGUUUCUACGAUCUGAUCGCGGAGACGAAUAUUUGAAUUACGAGUUUGGUCUUCAUUUGAAAUGAUGUGGAAUAGUUUCGCAACUCACGCCACCUGGAACACCACAUCGUAAUGGUGUGUCCGAACGUCAUAAUCAUACUUUAUUAGAGAUGGUGCGAUUUAUGAUGUCUCUUACCGAUUUAUCACUAUCGUUUUGGGGUUAUGCAUUAGAGACAGCUGCAUUCACGUUAUAUAGGGCACCAUCUAAAUCCGUUGAGAUGACACCAUAUGAACUGUGGUUUGGCAAGAAACCUAAGCUGUCGUUUCUUAAAGUUUGGGGUUGCGAUGCUUAUGUGAAAAAUCUUCAACCUGAUAAGCUCAAACCCAAAUCGGAGAAGUGCGUCUACAUAGGAUACCCAAAGGAGACUGUUGGGUACACCUUCUAUCACAGAUCCGAAAGCAAGAUAUUCGUUGCUUAGAAUGGAUCCUUUCUAGAGAAGGAGUUUCUCUCGAAAGAAGUGAGUGGCAGGAAAGUAGAACUUGAUGAGGUAAUUGUACCUUCUCUCGAGUUGGAAAGUAGUUCAUCAUAGAAAUCAGUUUCGGUGAUGCCUACACCAAUUAGUGGGGAAGCUAAUGAUUAUGAUCAUGAAGCUUCUGAUCAAGUUACUACCGAACCUCGUAGGUCAACCAGAGUACGAUCCGCACCAGAGUGGUACGGUAAUCCUGCUCUGGACGUCAUGUUUCUUGACCAUGACGAACCUACGAACUAUGAGGAAUCGAUGAUGAGCCCAGAUUCCGCAAAAUGGCUUGAGGCCAUGAAAGCUGAGAUAGGAUCCAUGUAUGAGAACAAAGUAUGGACUUUGGUGGACUUGCCCGAUGAUCUGCAAGCCAUUGAGAAUAAAUGGAACUUCAAGAGGAAGACGGACGAUGAUGGUAGUGUUUCCAUCUACAAAGCUCGAAUUGUCGCAAAAGGUUUUCGACAAGUUCAAGGUGUUGACUAAUAAAGAUUUUCUCACUCGUAGCGAUGCUCAAGUCUGUCCGAAUCAUGUUAGUAAUUGCCACAUUUUAUGAAAUCUGGCAAAUGGAUGUCAAAACUCCAUUCCUUAAUGGAUUUCUUAAAGAAGAGUUAUAUAUGAUGCAACAAGAAGGUUUUGUCAAUCCUAAAGGUACUAACAAAGUGUGCAAGCUCCAGCGAUCCAUCUAUGGACUGGUGCAAGCAUCUCGAAGUUGGAAUAUACGCUUUGAUAAGGUGAUCAAAGCAUAUGGUUUUAUACAGACUUGCGGUGAAGACUGUAUUUACAAGAAAGUGAGUGGGAGCACUACAACCUUUCUGAUAAGUAUAUGUGAAUGACAUAUUGUUGAUCGGAAAUGAUGUAGAAUUUUCUGGAAAGCAUAAAGGAGUGUUUGAAAGGAGUUUUUCAAAGAAAGACCUCGGUGAAGCUGCUUACAUCUUGGGCAUCAAAAUCUAUAGAGAUAGAUCAAGACGCUUCAUAAGAUUUUUCAAUGAGCGCGCACUGGAGGCAGCGGGGAAAACACCGGGCAGUUCGCGAAGGCGACAAAAAUACCAAGUUCUUCCACGCCUCCGCCUCCAAUCGACGACGUCGCAACACCAUCGGCACGCUGGAAGUUGAAGGGGUGCGGGUGGUGGACCAUGCUGGCAAGGCCGCCGCCUUGCUGGGCUUCUACUCGGCUCUGCUCGGCCGGCCCAGGCCCCCCACCUGGCGUUUCGAUCUGGCGGCGCUCUACGUCGACGCCCCUGUGGUGAACGGGGCGGCGCUGGUGGCUCUGUUCGACCACGCUGAGAUCAAGGCCGCGGUUGACGCCCUGGAUCGCACCAGCGCCCCCGGUCCGGACGGGCUUGGUCCCGCCUUCUACCAGGCGGCUUGGGCGGUGGUGUCGCCGGACAUCCACCGCCUCUUCGCAGAGUUCCAUGCCGUGACUGCUCGCCUCGAUGCGAUCAACAGAGCUUACAUCUCCCUCCUCCCCAAGAAACCGGGCGUGCCAACCCCUGCUGAUUUUCGGCAUGUCUCGCUUCAAAACGACGAUGUUAAGAUCCUCUGUAGGGGACUCACGACAAGGCUUCAACGAUAAAUCACCCACCUGAUCGACGAGGAUCAAUCUGGCUUCGUGCGGGGGCGCAGCAUCUCGGAGAAUUUUGUUUAUGCCACGGAGCUGGUACAGUGCUGCCACCGGCGGCGCGCCCCGGCGGUGGUGUUGAAGCUCGACUUCGCCAAAGCUUUUGAUUCCAUCAACUGGGCAAGUCUGCGAACCAUCAUGGAGGUGCGGGGGUUCCCGCCACUCUGGUGUGCUUGGAUGGACUCCCUUUUCCACUCCUCGCGCUCGGCCGUCCUCCUCAACGGCGUGCCGGGGAGGUGGUUCCAGGUCGGCUGCGGCCUGCGGCAGGGGGACCCCUUCUCCCCUACCUCUUCAUCAUCGUCGCCGACGUCCUCCAACGUCUCAUCCGCCAUGAUGAUGUGCUUCGACACCCCCUCCUGCCGGACGCACCGGCGGUGGUGCUCCAGUACGCCGACGACACUCUAAUUAUCAUGCGUGCGUGCGCGCAGGGGGCGGCGCGCCUCAAGCUGAUUCUGGACCAGUUCGCGGAUGCCACCGGGCUGGUGAUUAACUUUGCCAAAAGCACCCUCGUCCCCAUGCACGCUGAUGACGACGUCGUCGAGCAGGUGGUGGCGGCCCUGGGAUGCGCUGCCGGUGUGUUCCCGCAGACAUACCUGGGGCUCCCCCUUUCAUGGGAGAAGCUGCGCUUCGCCGACUUCUUGCCCAUGAUCGCGAAGGUGGACAUGUACCUCGCCGGAUGGGCUGCUCGUCUUCUCUCGCCCGUCGGGCGGCUCGUCCUCAUCAACGCCGUCCUCGACGCCCUGCCUACCUAUGCCAUGGCGGCGCUGCUCCUGCCGUCGGCCGUGAUCCGUGCCCUGGACGAACUCCGCCGCUCCUUCCUCUGGAACAUCGCGGAACGGGCAUCGGGCGCUCAAUGCCUGGUCGCGUGGCGUCAGGUCUGUCGCGCCAAAGCCGAAGGCGGCUUGGGUGUGCGCGACUUGGUCACCCAGAACGAGUGCCUUCUUUUGAAGAUGAUACACCGGCUGCAUGCCUCGCCACGGUCGAGAUGGGCGUCGUGGGUCUGGGCUGGCGCAGCCGGCCACUCUCUCCUCUCGUGUGGGGAGUUGGCGCUGGGUGAGCACCGGGCCUCCGUUGUCAAGCUGCUGCCCCUCUACCGAUCCCUCACAAGGGUUGACAGGGAUGGGAGGUGCUGCUCCUUCUGGUGGGACGGCUGGCUCCCCUGUGGAUCGAUCGCCUCGGUCUUUCCCGCUCUCCUCUCGCACGCCGUCGAGGCCGAGGUCACGGCCUGGCAGGUGCGGCAGCAUGGCCUCACCAGCUUUCUGGUGCCCAGGCUCAUGGUCGUGGGCGCGCGUGAGCUGCGGGCUGUCCAGAGGCUGCUGGACGAGGCGCCUUGCCGUGAGGGCCCCGACGAGUGUCAGCUGAUCCACGCAAGGGCGCGCGAGGGAGCCUUGUCCUCCAGCUCGGUCUAUGGCCUCUUGCGGUUCGGUGGGGUGGUCGCGACCUACGCCGCCAUGAUCUGGGGCGCGCGAGUGUCGUCCCGCAUCAAAUUCUUCUGCUGGCUGCUGGUCCAGAGACGCAUCCACACGCGUGACGUCCUGCUGCGGAAGUGCAUUGUUGCUGCAGAUGAGGCCGAUUGCCCUCUGUGCCCCGUCCCUCUCGAGACUGCGGACCACUUGCUGUUUGCCUGCCUGUUCGCGGGCGCGUUCUGGCAAAAAUCGGGAUGUGUGUGGACGGGGCCUCGGUUUGCAACUUGAACUCCCUAGCUGGGGCGGCAAGCAACGUCGUCGACUCUGGGGUGGAGUUUGUGAUGCUCUACUGCUGGCAAUUGUGGAAGCAUCGCAACGCCGUGGUCUUCCAGCGGCAGGCACCGUCCUUGGCCAGGGCCUUGCAGUGCUGUAGGGAGGACGCUGAUCUGUGGCGUGUUCGCCUGCAACACGACCGCCGGGCUCAUGUCGACUUCUGGCUUAGGGCUCUCGCCCCCUAGGCUUGUCUUUUCCGCGGGCUUAUGCCCCUGCUUGACUUGUUUGUACCCCCCCUAAAAACUCUCUCUAUAAACAUCUGGGGGCCUAGCCCGCCGUGAUCAAUAUAUUCAGGUGGGGGGAACUCUCCCCCCCCCCCGGUGAAAAUUCAAAAAAAAAAGAUUUUUCAAUGAGUACAUACCUUGACAAGAUUUUUGAAGUAGUUCAAAAUGGAACAGUCAAAGAAGGAGUUCUUACCUGUAUUGCAAGGUGUAAAGUUGAGUAAGACUCAAAACACGACCACGGCAGAAAAUAGGAAGAGAAUGAAAGUCAUUCCCUAUGCCUCAGCCAUAGGUUCUAUAAAGUAUGUUAUGUUGUGUACCAAACCUAUUGUGUACCUUGCCAUGAGUUUGGCAAGGGGGUACGAUAUUGAUCCAGGAGUGGAUCACUUGACAGUGGUCAAAAUUAUCCUUAGAAGACUAAAGGAGAUAUUUCUCGGUUAUGGAGGUGAUAAAGAGUUCGUCAUAAAGAGUUACGCCGAUGCAAGCUUUUAUACCGAUCCGGAUGACUCUGAGUCUCAAUCUAGAUACAUAUUGAAAGUGGGAGCAAUUAGCUAGAGUAUCUCAAUGCAGAGCAUUGUAGACAUAGAAAAAUUACAGAAUACAUACAGCUCUGAAUGUGACAGACCCAUUGACUAAGCUUCUCUCACAAGCAAAACAUGAUCACACCUUAGUACUCUUUGGGUGUUAAUCACAUAGCGAUGUGAACUAGAUUAUUGACUCUAGUAAAACCCUUUGGGUAUUAGUCACAUGGCAAUGUGAACUAAUCACAUGGUGGUGUGAACUAUUGGUGUUAAAUCACAUGGCGAUGUGAACUAGAUUAUUGACUCUAGUGCAAGUGGGAGACUGAAGGAAAUAUGCCCUAGAGGCAAUAAUAAAGUUGUUAUUUAUAUUUCCUUAUAUCAUGAUAAAUGUUUACUAUUCAUGCUAGAGUUGCAUUAACCGAAAACUUAGUACAUGUAUGAAUACAUAGACAAAACAGAGUGUCCCUAGUAUGCCUCUACUUGACUAGCUCGUUAAUCAAAGAUGGUUAUGUUUCCUCACCAUAGACAUGUGUUGUCAUUUGAUGAACGGGAUCACAUCAUUAUAGAAUGAUGUGAUGGACAAGACCCAUCCGUUAGCUUAGCUUAAUGAUCAUUUAGUUUUAUUGCUAUUGCUUUCAUCAUGACUUAUACAUGUUCCUCUGACUAUGAGAUUAUGCAACUCCCGAAUACCGGAGGAACACCUUGUGUGCUAUCAAACGUCACAACGUGACUGCGUGAUUAUAAAGAUGCUCUACAGAUGUCUUCGAAGGUGUUUGUUGGGUUGGCAUAGAUCGAGAUUAGGAUUUGUCACUCCGUGUAUCGGAGAGGUAUCUCUGGGCCCUCUCGGUAAUGCACAUCACUAUAAGCCUUGCAAGCAAUGUGACUAAUGAGUUAGUCACGGAAUGAUGCAUUACGGAACGAGUAAAGAGACUUGCCAGUAACGAGAUUGAACUAGGUAUGAUGAUACCGACGAUCGAAUCUCGGGCAAGUAACAUACCGAUGACAAAGGGAACAACGUAUGUUGUUAUGCGGUUUGACCGAUAAAGAUCUUCGUAGAAUAUGUAGGAGCCAAUAUGAGCAUCCAGGUUCCGCUAUUGGUUAUUGACCGGAGAUGUGUCUCGGCCAUGUAUACAUAGUUCUCGAACCCGUAGGGUCCGCACGCUUAACGUUCGAUGACGAUUUGUAUUAUGAGUUAUGUGAUUUGAUGAUUGAAGUUUGUUAGGAGUCCCGGAUGAGAUCACGGACAUGAGGAGGAGUCUUGAAAUGGUCGAGACGUAAAGAUCGAUAUAUUGGAAGGCUAUAUUCGGACAUCGGAAAGGUUCUGAGUGGUUCGGGUAUUUUUCGGAGUACCGGAGAGUUACGGGAAUUCGCCGGGGGAAGUAUUGGGCCUUCAUGGGCCUUAGUGGAAAGGAGAGAAGGGCCACAAGGGGAGGCCGCCCCCCCCCCCCCAUGGGCUAGUCCGAAUUGGACUAGGGAGGGGGCGGCGCCCCCCUCUUUCCUUCUCCCUCUCCUACUCCUUCCGUCUCUCCCCUCUUGGAAAAGGAAGGGGACUCCAACUAGGAUUGGGAAUCCUAGUUGGACUCCCCCUAUAGGCGAGCCCCUCCUAGGCCGGCCUCCUCUUCCCCCUCCUUUAUAUACGUGGGCAGGGGGGCACCCAAAGACACACAAGUUGAUCUUUUAGCCGUGUGCGGUGCCCCCCUCCACAGUUACACACCUCGGUCAUAUCGUCGUAGUGCUUAGGCGAAGCCCUGCGCCGGUAACUUCAUCAUCACCGUCACCACGCCGUCGUGCCGACGGAACUCUCCCUCGGCCUUAACUGGAUCAAGAGUUCGAGGGGCGUCACCGAGCUGAACGUGUGCAGACCGCGGAGGUGCCGUGCGUUCGGUACUUGGAUCGGUUGGAUCGCGAAGACGUUCGACUACAUCAACCGCGUUACUAAACGUUUCCGCUUUCGAUGUACAAGGGUACGCGGACACACUCUCCCAUCUCGUUGCUAUGCAUCUCCUAGAUAGAUCUUGCGCGAUCGUAGGAAUUUUUUUGAAAUUACUGCGUUCCCCAACACUAUGUUGGGCUGCGGGGGCACUCUUUUCGUUGUACGCUUCAUGAAGGUGCUGCCUUGGGAGCUUUAUGGGCUAUGGGCUUCGUGGUGUUGUGGUAGGUGGGCGGCGGUGGCAAUAGUGUGCCUCUUGUGUCGGAGGGGGUGGCUUUGCAUCGCCCCCAGGCACCGCCACAUGGAGUCACCUCCUGUCCAGUCAUCCCCGGCAGAGGGGACGCCGUCAUUGAGGUGUCCAGAGCCUUUGCUCCGGGCUCAUUGCGUCCCGGACCGGUUGCACCCGUCGCCGAGUCCACGAUGCCCCCGGGAGGAACAUCCACGGGAGAAGGGUCUCGCGCUGCCGUUGUCUGCCCCUCUAGACAACUGCACCAUGGUCGCGAGACGCCAUAUCCCCAGUGUCCCCUUUAGGGUUUGUUUGUUCCCGUAUCUUCCUAGAGGAGGCACAAGAGGGAGCCCUCGAUGUGGGGACCAAGAAAAAAAACAUAUGGAAUGUAUUCCUAUAUACAAGUCAAACAACACAAGCAUGAGAAAAAAGAUGAAAAUACUUUGAAUCAAAUAUCUGUAGCGAACGGAUGGAAUCCAAACGAUCACUGCAAUGACAGACACACCAAGAGAGGAGAAUGUUGCACCCUUUUGUUUCACAGUGUGUGUCUGCAUCUCUAUUCCCCGGAUGGCCCCAAGAAUCAACAGCGUUUGCACACGUAGAGGCAUACCAGCCAUGUUCUCCAUUGUUUUCACAAGAUGCUAUUUCGCUCUCCUUUGUUUUUUGCGACCCCAUUGACUGUGUAAUCCAUGAUCUGGAUACGGUCAAGCCUCCAUGAUCUCCCACUGCUUAAGGUAAUGUUAAUGGAGGAGUAAGAAACAAGCUUACCAUCACCACUAAUCUACCACCCUCCAUGGCUACAUGUCAUGUGAGACCCACCGCCCCCCGUCCCAUUCGUCCUCCCUCCCUCCCCCAAUUCCACCACACAACGGUCCUCCGCUCCGCUCGCUCUGCCCGCACCGUACUGUUCACAAGGGGGGCGCCGGCCGCAGUCGCCGCUGACCGGAGCGAUCCGCCUCUCCGACCACCGGACGCGGCGAGGGGAGCCCGAGGAGAUCCCGGCUGAUCUCCAGUUUCCAGACGCGCCAGCGGGGGGAGGAGGCGGCGGUCGAUCUCUGCGGGGGAAAGGCGCGAGCUUGGGCUUGCCUGACUUCUUGCUGGCGGCGGGGGCGAAGGGGCGGGCGGGGGCGGGGGCGGCGGCGAUGCUGCGCCGGAAGUCGCCGUUCGCGGCGGCGCCUGCGGCCGCCAAGCAGGGGGAGGGGGAGGAGGCGCCCGCGCGCAGGCCCGGCGCGCCGCUCUCGCUCGCGGGCCUCCUCGUCUCCAUCUUCCUCGUCGCCAUCUUCCUCUACAACGAGGACUCCGCCGCCGUCAAGGCCCCCAUCGCCGCCGACGCCGCGGCCGGGGACUUCCCGCUCGCCGGGGCCUCGCGCGCCCGGUCCGCCCCCGACCUCCACCUCCUCCACGAGGUCAACCCCCGCCCCCAGCAGCAGCAGCAAGAGGGGAACGGCGAGGAGGAGGGGCAGCGUCGCCAUGUGGAGCAGGUGGAGAGCAGGAGGAAAGCGAGCGACGGCGACAGGGUGGACGCGCCCGCGAGAGCAGACAAGCGGGCCGCCCCCGCCACGACGACGACCGCGACGCCUCCUCCCAGCAGCGGCGGCAACACCAGCACCACGAGCAGCAGAGCGGCGGUGGCGGCGCCGGAGCCGGCGGCGUGCAACCUGUACCAGGGGUGGUGGACGUACGACGCGGAGGCGUCGCAGGUGCCGCUGUACCGCGAGGCGGAGUGCGAGUUCCUGACGGAGCAGGUGACGUGCAUGCGCAACGGCCGGCGCGACGACUCGUACCAGCGGUGGCGCUGGCAGCCCUCCUCCUGCGACCUCCCCAGGUAUGUCUAUCCACCACCAACCUCCGUCCGGCAGCCAUCGCCGCCGCCGCCGCGUCGUAGAUCUCACCCCAACCGAACCGAAUUGAAUCUUGCUCUGCAGGUUCGACGCGCGGGUGCUGCUGGAGCGGCUGCGGAACAAGAGGCUGAUGUUCGUGGGGGACUCGCUGAACCGGAACCAGUGGGAGUCGAUGGUGUGCCUGGUGUCGUCGGCGAUCCCUGCGCGGGACAAGAAGUCCCUGGCCAAGUUCGUCGGGCCCAACGGCUCUCUCAACGUGUUCAGGGCGGCGGAGUACAACGCGACGGUGGAGUUCUACUGGGCGCCGUUCCUGGUGAGCUCCAACUCGGACGACCCGCAGGCGCACAGCGUGGCGGACCGCGUGAUCGCGUGGCGGUCCAUCGCCAAGCACGCCCGGCACUGGCGCGCCGCCCACUUGCUCGUCUUCAACACCUACAUCUGGUGGCUCAACAACUUCGAGAUGAAAGUGCUGUGAGUUUCUCCUCCAUUGCUGCUUGCUCCGGUGAUGGAUCAGUGAGUGAUGAAGAUGAAAUGCAGGAAGAACCCUCGGGCGAUGCCGGACAAGUACACGCUGGUGGACCGGCCGGUGGCGUACAAGGAGGUGCUCAAGACGUGGGCCAAGUGGGUGGACCGGCACGUCGACCCCGGCCGGACCAAGGUCUUCUUCAUGGGCAUGUCGCCCAACCACGGCGUGUAAGUCACUCAAUCACUCACUCACCGGCUCUGGAUCAACUUGUUCAUUGCAAAUUACUACUCCCAGUGCAUUGCUUGCGAUUUCUUCUGGGUUGGUAGCGGCUUGGGAUUCCAUUCCAAAACAAACAGGCUUCUCGGGCAGUGCUAAUCCCCUUCCAGCAGUACUCCUAGACUAUUGUAUUGCCAAUUGUUUGUUUAUGAGUGAGCACACAGCACAGCACAUCUCGGGCAGUGGUUUCCGGAUGAAGGGAUUGAGCAUAUAACUAGGAGAAACUUGAGGUGAAUGAAUGGGUGACGCGUGCUUCAGAUUAGGUCAGCUGAGCCGCCGGCACCAACCCACCCAGAGUGCCAGAACCAGAAACUUGGCCGGAGGAGAGAUUGAAGAAGGAUGAGGAUGGAUGGGCAUGCGAAGCCUUGCCUAUUGAAUUGCGCUGCGCCUGUCCCCCGGAGCUGCCCCGAACCCAAAUUCAGCUCUCAGCUCUCAGCUCUCUUGAUGGUUCCAUCAGUUGAGACUUGAGAGCUGUGACCACACUAGGUGGAUAGAUGGAUGGAUGGAUCCCCUCGAUGAUUCUUCUUCCUGCUGGCACGGCGUCGGGGUAAAAACUGUAGAUGAUUCUUGGUACAUCAUCAGACGGUGCCAUGUCAAAACAGUUGAACUAAACAUGCACAGCACAGACAGCUCGCAUAAUUCAGCAAGUUGGACUACAUGUUGCUGCUGCUGCUGCUGCGUCCAUCCAAAAGCCGGCACUGCUGCUAGCUGGAGCCUGGACUGGAGCGAUCCCGUCCGAGUGUAGCCGUGAUGGGCGCGCACAGAGCAAGUGCUCCGUGAUUAUUAAUACUUCCUCCGUCUAGGUGUGCAUGCAUGCAUCUCUCCAUGACAGUCCCCACCAACCUAAUGCGACUGCCAAGCCCCCUUUAGCAGCCACCAUGACUGUCGCUUUCCCCAUUGAUGGAUGGAUGGAUCCGCCAAGGCAGCACGCAGCCACGUUCGAACCAGCGGUGCAGCUUGAUCGCUGCAAGGAAGCAGAUCGCAAGUACUGCCACCCACCAUGUUGCUUGCUUAACCAAGCUGAGCUUCAUGUGAUUUUUGGUCGAUUUUUGGCUGGCAACUUGCGCUUUAAAUAACUAACCUAUAUAAUGAUUCUACACGCACAAAAUGGCAUCGACGAGCACGUGAACGCAUCAUUCCACCAAAAGCAAGCAAAAGAAACAAACAAACAUGUGUUCCUCAGCCCGUGUGUGAGCCGAACCAUGGCCAUGGCAACCUGCAUCAUGCAUGCCCGUGAAUCUCGCCAUUGCCGGCGGGGGAAUGGAAUCUCAGCUCACCAGCCACCUUGCAUUGCAUCGCAUCCUCUGCUCUUGUACUAAUUAACACAACCGUGAUGAAACGUGCUAUCUAUGUGUGUGUGUGUGUGCAGGCCGGAGGCGUGGGGCGGGGGGCCGGGCGCCAUCAAGUGCGCCAUGGAGACGCAGCCGAUCCUCAACCACACGGGCCCGCUCUACAUCGGCACCGACUGGCGGCUGCACGGCGCGGCGGAGGCGGUGCUGCGCACCAUGCGCCGCGUGCCCGUCCACCUCGUCGACAUCACCGCGCUCUCCGAGUUCCGCAAGGACGCGCACACCUCCGUGCACACGCUCAGGCAGGGGAAGCUGCUGACCCCCGAGCAGCAGGCCGACCCGCGCACCUACGCCGACUGCAUCCACUGGUGCCUCCCGGGCCUCCCCGACACCUGGAACCACUUCCUCUACGCCCAGAUCGUCGCCGCCCCUCCGCCGCCGCCGGCGCAGGCGCAGCCCCUUCCGCAGUCGUCGUCGUCGUCGUUGUAGCAUAGCCUGAUUAUUAGUAGCCAUUGCCGUUGUGUUCUACUGAUCUUCCUUCUUUGUUUCUUUCUUUUCUUCUGGGUUUUCUCUUUUUUUCUUUUCUUUGUGUGACCAACCAAUCUGUUGUCAAUCUGUGAGUAAGUAAUUCUUUUGUAGAAGCACGAGAGGCUCGCAAACGUGUGUUUGGAUGGAGCGGCACGAGCACGAUGAUGAAAGGUGAAGCAGGUAUAGGGGCCACCGCUACUACUAGUGGUUGGGUCAUUAUUCCUGUUUUUCAUCUGUGGAUCAAUGAUAGUAUAUGGAGAACGGAUACCCCACGAAGAAGACAGGUGACGUGAAGUCAGUUUCAGUUUCUCCGGCGAGUCCCCAUCAUGAAUAUACGCAAUCGUCAUCAUUUUCCAACCAAUUUCUCGAUCAUUUCCUAACCAGCGUCAUGGAUGCAACAUCAUCGUACUUCCAUCAAGUUUUGUUCGAGACACCAACCUGGGCAUGAUGCUGGCGGCAACGUGGCCCGUCACCACGUAUGAUGAGUGAGGGGUGGGGGCAGCAUUGGCCACCACUGGCAUUUGUGAGUUCUCGGAAUGGGACCGGCCAGCUUGCAUCACCCCACAGAUCCUCGUAAUUAAGAGGGGCCUGUUCCAAGCGGUCCAGUUGAAUCUUCUGCCCCCCGGCUUUACGCUCGCAGGCACGGCGUGGCCAAACAGUGGCAGGGCCUACAGCACAUGCACCAAAGGAAAUGACGCUAACCGACACCAAACCUACAGCAUCCUGCAUGGCAAUCAUACACCUAAUAUCUCAUCAAAAAUUGGUGCAACUAAUAUCCUGCAUGAUAUCAAUCCAAUAUUAUAAUAGAAAUAACUGGUGAAUCUCUAACAAAUAGUACUAACAAUAUCAGAUUUAACAUGCUGUAAAAGAUAUCUGGAUAAAAGCAAAGAUACAAGUUUAUUCUCAAGGUCACUAAUUUGAUGUAUCGAGCGAGCGAGCGACGACAGAUCUGAUGUACUAUGUUCCACUGAAAUCCUAGAGCGUCUUCCUCCUCAUCCUUCCAUGCUAACAUUUGCCUAUACAAGCAACAGGAGUAAAAGACUCAUCGAAAAGGUACUCGGGCACUUUUCUUCUCUUUCACGGAUUGCAUAAUAGGUUUGCUUCCUUCUCCCAAAGCCCAGAAAAUGGGGUGCGAUGCCUGGAACGCGUGGGCUCCUUUGAAAACUGCCGCAACAUCUUCUUCAUCUGUCGGUUUCUUCUGGUAGCUUAACAUUUCCGAAAUGUAUCAGCUCCAUCUCGUCUUUCCAAAUCUGCGGGUCAAAUCGCAAAUGCAAUUAUCAACGGAACAAACCAAACACACAAGCACAAGGAGAAAAAAAAGAUCAGAUAACACAAGCAGAAAAGGUGUGAAGUACAUACGUUGUGCCGGAAUUCAAUCCUAAUGUGGGGAACAUUUGUCUGGUGGAUGUCAUUGCCGUCGGGGCCUCUUUUGUAGUAGUUUCUACCAAUCCAGUGUGACUAGAUAAAAAAGGAAAAGAAAGGCCAGAGCUUAGAGGGAGUCCAUGAGUUGGGUUAUGUAAGAACAGAGGAAACUGGCAAAUGAAUGUACAAUGCGUACCUUCAGCCUAUGAGAGAAACCAGACUGGUACACAGAAUUCCUGGCUAUUUCACACAAGUCACAAGAGCUAAGCUUCCACAGCUGCCAAAAGUAACAGCCGACCAAAUAUUAGGCAGGUCCGAGUGGGCAUGGAACAGAGCACAUAAUGGGAGGGAGCAAAGGAAAUUACCGAAGCAGCAACACUGUAUUCUUCAACCAAAGGUUCUUUUGUUAGGUGAAUUUGCAAAGGGUCAUCAGUUGAGAGAGAAACAUUCAGGCCUCUUAAGAAAAAUGUUGGGAAAGGGUUCCGGUGGUAGUCAAUAAACAAUGAGUUGUUGCUCAAAGGAGACAUUGCAAGACCAAUCUGAUUGCAGGCAAAGAAACAUGAUUAGUUUCUUUCAAAGAAUGUCAUGCGAAAAUACAAAGAAAAUAACAAUGCUAACCUGAGCAAGAUAAUACAAGUACUGGAGGACAGGAGACUUCUUUAAAUUCACCCCGUGAGCAAUAUUGUGAGAAGUGAGAAAUGCUGCAGCAAGAUGAUCAAUAUCGCCAGCCUGAAGACAAGAAAUCAUUAAGACAAUGUGUUCAAGUCCAAUGUAGAAAUGUACAGAUCAUGCAGUAUGGGUAUACCUCUCCACAGUGUGGACGAAGUUUGAUUGUUGUCAUGCCCUUGGAAUCACGAAGCUGCAUACAAAAUGAUCCCUCUGUGUGUUACUUUUCAGUUUUAAUAAAAACACCAGGAGAUCUGGGCGGAAAAUGUUAUUACCUUGUUCAGUGUGUACAAGUUAGCAUAGCAAUAGUAUACAUAAUAUGCAUAGGCUGGAUUGAAAACAUUAGUCCAUUGCUCAGGAGUCGGCAUGUGUUUUGUUGGGCGCCUUUCUGGUUUGCUUUCAUCAUCCACCAAAUCUAAACCAACAACCUGAAGAUAAUAGCACGAGAAACAAUGAUGGCUGGAGAAAAAUGUCAUAAAUGGUCUACAAGAGAAUAAUAUUGUCAAUGCACAGAGCUUGGAGGGGCCCUCUCAGUGGAAGAAAUUUGGAAAAAUAUUCUGCUGACCGGUGGUUUUUAUACUGCAGGCUGGUAACUUUCUCAAGAUUGUCCACACUUCUACUAAAGUAGAGAACAAGAUUGAUCUUUCAAGCAUUGGUCAAUAAAUUUUUCUUUAAUAAGACACACAAGUCAGUUGCUUUUUCUAUUUCAUACAAUUGCAAGAUGACUAGAUUAGUGUUGAAAGCCACAUCAACAUAGCGCAGACAAGUAAUAAAUAUAUAAAGUGCUUCCACUGACCUGUUCUAAGAAAACGUGCAGCUGAGGAUGUGAAGAAGGAUCAACAGUUACUUCAAAAAGUGGAAGAAAUAUGUUGUCAAGGAGGUUCUGGAAUGAAUUAAUCGUGCCCAUCUCCCUGUAUACAUUGUAAAUCCGAGGAAUCUGCAGAGAAAAUUAAACACCACAUCAGUGCAACUACUCCAGUUAAAAAAAGUUAAAUGCAACAAGUGAUUUAUGUUCCAGUCCGGUUUUAGACAAAGGAUAUACAUUGAUUAAUGAAUAUGUUAGAGUGAAUAUAGAAAUUGGAAGGCCAGAAACACUGAAGAGGACAACAUAGAGCCAUUACCUGGAUUAACCAAACAACAUUCUCGCUGUACAAUUCAUUAUUCACUAUCCAACUUGCCAUCUGAUCCCACUCACUUUUCUUUCUCCCAUAAAUAGAUAUUCGAUACUCGGCCAUCUGAUAAAGAUAAUUGGAGUAUGAGCAUUAGCCAGAGCCAUAUAGCAAAAAAAAGGGCUAGAUCAAUGUGUAAACACUGCUUGUACAUGAGUAGCCAAUAUUUCCACAUUAAAAAUAAAAAAUAUGAAAAGAACUAUUUCUAACCCUCGACAAAUCAAUAUAGAAAGAAGAAAUCACCUGAUAUUUGCUUGCUUCAAGGUCAGCAAACACUUCUUUAGUUAAUUCAGCGAGGAAGCGACCUAGUAAUAAGACAGGAUGAUAGUUAACAAAAUCAUCCGUGUAAAGUCUAUGUUGGCGGUGAUUCUAAUGCAGGAUAUAAGUUUAACAGUAGUACAACAGCUGAAAUAAGAGAAAUGAAAAGGAGAGUAUACACAUUCAGGCAACAAGACAAAACAUAUGUGCACCUUGAAUAAGGUUGUCCUGCUUAAGAAAGAUCUCCCUGAGGCGAGACUGGCCACAUGGAUUAUAUUUCAGAUUGAACUUGUCAAAACGGUGAAAUGUACUCUUAUCAGCAUGCACGUCCAAGAGAUCAACAUUGAGGUCAUACCUAUGAGAGAGUAAACAGGUUACUACAAAAAAGGUAACAAGAAGAUAAAUAACAGCACCAUAAGAUAAAGGAUUUCAGUUACCCAGUCAAGUCCAAACUCUCGAACACCUCCUUAAGAGUCAAAUAGGUCCCAUCUCUAAAAAUCACAACCUACAUAAGUGAAAUUUUGGAGCAUAGGUCAAGUGCAGGACGUUAUGUCUCAGGUUUAUUGCUACGUGAGACAACAGCAACAAUUAGACAAGAAGGAAGUGGAUGUACCUCAUCUGGUUCUUUCUUCAAUUUUGACUUAAUAAACCUCAAAAGAUGCUUCUGGUUCAUGCAUGCAGAGUGAUGAACAUGAGUAUCAACCUUCCUGACAUUGUAGAAGUCCCUGUGUGGUGCAGCUUUCUGGGCAAGCAGCUCUCUAUCGGCAUUGACCAUCAAAUGAAGAUUAAAUUUCUGAAAUUACAAAAGCAUGAAAACAGAGGUCAAUGUACAGAAUAAAAUAGCUUGCGCAUGCGACAUCAUCAAGUUCUCAGUGAGAUUUAUAAAUCAAGCUAGCUUCACAGGCCAGUCUGGAACAAAUUCAAUAUAUGCAGGCAACAAUAGAGCAAGUGUUUGAAAGGAAGAAAGUUCAAAAGAAUUACUUGCUCUAGAAGAUUUAAACGGUGAUGACAGACUGUUCGGAUAUCCCCAGCAGCCAAUACACGAAGGAUAUAAUGCAUAUCAGUAAAGAAGGUGGUAGCAUCAGCAACAGGAUACAGUCUUUCUUUAGCUGCAUCAACAAAGACAACGUGAUGAUCAACAUGCCCCAAACUAAGAAAAUCACGAGAAACUAGAAGAAAUGAAAUGGUUUUUCACUCACAAUCUUUACUGGGGUACAGAUGAACAACACCAUCAACCAUUUCGAAGUGAUGCUGAAAGAAGGGAAAACAAUGUUUUAGGGAAAAGGAAAGCAGAUAUAUGUGUAGCCAGUCAUUAUACACAUACCUAGAGAAAUGCACUUACUUCAGUUUUGGUCUGAUGUUCAUAGUUGAACGGGUUUGGGUUAGGUUUGGGGGUACUAGGAUCAGUUAUUAUUUCCUUCUCCCAUGGAGCAACUUCUUCUCUGAAGAUGUACUUCUCUCGUAGCUCAAGACAUUUUUGAAGAACUUUGUACGCUUCAAUUUCAUCAUGAGAAGGAGUUUCUGCGGCAAAAUCAAGAAUAAGUACAAGAGUAGCAACACGUAAGCAAAGAACACUAGCUAUAAUAGAUGUUUAUUCUAGUGAUCAAGAUCAACACAAUCAGGCUGAUGCUAUAUAUAGAUAAAGGAAUUGGCAAAGAUGGCAUGCACUGAACAGUGAUGUUCGAAAACAACAAAGCUGGAAGAUAUAAUGAGACAAUCAACAUUGGCCCAAAAUUAUUGAACAGACAGAUAUAAGGCGAAAAAGCAUACCAACAGCUGUAAUAUUGAUCCUACUGAAAGUUUCAUGCUCAGGUUCCUUUCGAAGUAUAUCAGCUGCUACUGGAUUUAGCUGGAUCCCAUGGAGACUACCAGUUGCACUGUGAGAUCUAAUCAUGCUCGUUGCUGGUAUGUCCCCAUUCUGAUCCGCUUUAACAGGAACCGGGUCUGAUCCCUGUGAAAUUUAAAGCAAUGUUAGUCUAUCAAGUACAGACAUAACUAAGGUAUAUUUGCAAGUAGAAAGUUGUUUCUGAGCAUGAAUUUUGAGGAAAUACAACAAAAAGGUUGCAGAGAAAUACAUAUCUAAACUCUAAAGAAAAAACAAUUUAGUGUGUGAGCUACAUGCAACUUAACCUUACAAGCUUUUCUUGAUUAAUUCAUAUGACUCACACCAAUACCUUAUAUCUAUAUACAAGGAAGUAAACCUCAUAAAGUUGUGUUGGUAGCCAUGUUUCCAUUCAAAGAUCCACUUAAUGACAAUGAAAUUAGUGAAGAUCCUUACAAACCCAACAUAUUGUCAGUCAGAAAACAAAUUAUCUACAAAAGUAAGCAGCAAGCACUGCUUGUCAAAGCAUAUGCAUCUUGCACUUACAAUAGCCCCAUUUGUGCCAACGUAGACAGCAUCAUCAUUUUUGGAAUCUGGCUCAAGAUCAACAUCCUCAUCUGAAUCUUCGAUGCUCUCAAAUGUGCUGACUGCAGGAACAGAGGAUUUUGGUGUCGUUGGUCUAACCAGAGACCCAACUCUUUUGUUCGCAGCUGGAGAUAUAGUGGGCUUGCCUGAGUGGUAAAACAGGCCAACAUUAGCAUAAAAUGUCAUGGGGAAUUGCUUGCAGAUUACAACAUGUUUCAUGGUGUUCAGUGUUCAAAACUGCAAGUGAGGCCAUGUCACAAUACACACUAUACACUACUGUGUCUGUUUCUAUUGUUUCAUCACUACAGGCGAAACCAUAUUUGGAAACACCGAAAAGAGCUCAUUUAAGUUACUGAGCUGGACACAUUUCCCGGAUGCAUAGUGUGGAGCACCUCAAGUUUUGCCAGAGCUGAAACCCUACAUAAAUCUGAAGCGUACGGUAUGCGAAUAGGAACUAGGUAAGUGGUGAGUGCUGGGCCACAAUGGGAUGGAUAAAUUAACCCGGCCGACGCUAACACCGCUCUUGGUCUAAAAAAAAUUCACCACCACUGACGAACUGCAUCGUAGCGCACUGAACUACUGAACAAAUCACGCGGACGGGAUCAGGCCUGUGAAUAGUCGAUGCCUCGCACUACCGCAAGCGCGCACAUACCGCGCCGAUCACAUGGCAUAGGGCGGGGAUGCAGGAAUCAGGAGAGCGGUGCGUACCCUCUCGGCCGGUGUGGAGCGGCGGGAGCCCCGGCGGGAUGGGGAGGGUGCGGCGAUCGUGGUCCCUGUGCGGGGGAGGGCCGUCGUCGUCCUCCUCGCCUUCCUCCCGGUCGGGGUCGCUGUCCUCGGCGCCGUCGGGGAGGAGGCGGGCGCGGCGGCGGUGGUCGCGGUCGAGGGAGCGGGCGAAGCGGAGGAGCUGGUCGAGGGUCUUGCGGUGCAUGUAGUAGGCGGACGCGGCGGCGAAGGAGGCGCCGACGAGCGCCGCGACGGCGAGGUGCAGCGCGUAGGACGGGGAGGGCUCCAUGGCGGCGAGGCGAGGCGGGGGUGGGGGUGGGCGACGGUGAUGUGAGAGGAGCCGAGGGAGGCGGCGGCGGGGGCGCGGUUAUAUGAGGGGGGACGGGCUAGGGGAGUUAGGGGAAGGAAGGGCGCUGGCUGACUGGUGGGCCCGGUUGCUGCGCACGGGGAGUGGGGUUCCGUGUGCGCGUUCCCUCGGAGACGCCUUGGAGUGUAUCCAUCGUCCACCUCGGAGAAAAAUGGAGCAUAUCCGUCGGUUGUAUUACUGCUACUACUUUGUUUUUUUCUUGGAGUGUUUGAUCAUUUUCUAUGCUCGUACAAACGACCGAGUUGGUGAUGAUGAUGUAUCCGUCGUUUGUCAUUUCUGACCAUCAGAUUUGUAUCUGACGCAUGCGAGAUGAGUUUGGAGUAUUUUUGAAAUCUGCCCCCAUCACUUUGCUUCACAUUUGCAAAAAACUUCUCCGGCCUUUAUACGAGCCUAGCGCAUAGAAACUUUGUUAGUUGGGUGUAAAUAAGAGCAUUUACAAUCGGACUUGAAAAUCAGACUCCUCAAACCCCCGCGAACAUGAUUGGAUGCAUCCGCAGACAAUGACCGGCCGUAGAUGCUCUAACCAUGCGCCCAGUAGCAAAUGUACAUGGAUAUAUACACAUUAUACUCGCCAAAUAGAAACAAAUAUGCACAUUACAUGGAUAUAUACACAUUAUACUGACGUAGAUGUUCAGUGUUGUUUGCGCAGUGAAGCGCCGAAAUCAACUGGAAUCUGUUUGAGAAAAAAUGCUUGUCAUGCGGGAAAUCAGUAUGCACAGAAAAAAGAAAUGGAAGAUAUUGGGGGAAACUUUGCUUUGCUCGUGGAGGUACACGACUCAGAUUUCAGUCCAUCAAACUCGUACGUGUGUCGAAAGUGGUACACAAACUGACAAACAAAGCAUAGUGGACGAUGAAACGUGACUAGGAGGACGACACAUGUGAGCAAGCGGUCAGUUUCAGAGAGGAACGGAGACAGAUCAUGCGGCCAGCACUAACUUUUACCAGAUCCAUACAAUGGGAUAGAAUGCGCUUUAAUGAGAGAACGUGUGAUAAGCGCCACACGUGUGAGCAAGUGUUAAGUUUUUUUACACCGAUAAGCGUCACAUGUGUGGGUGUUAGGGGGUCUGCCCACACAUUUUGUGUGGUGUAUAAGAGGAACAGCCCACACACCUACGUGUGGGCAAAACAAGUAAUGCCCACACGCCUACGUGUGGGCGAAAUAGAUAACGCCCACACGCCCCGUACGUCAGGCCUCGUACCUCGUGGUCCCGCACACCCCGCGUGACAGUCACCGCGCGUCCCGCAGUUGCCAUGGUCCAGACCCUCGUCCAUGUUCGUUUAAUUGUAGUUGCCAUGUCGCUGAACUUCGGUUGCCAUGUCGGACAACUACAGUUGCCAUGGUUGCUCAAUUGCAGUUGCCAUGUAUGGUCUGGUCACAGUUGCCAUGAUUUCAAAACUUUAGGAGUUGCCACCCACUAACACUAGGCAGUUGCCAUGUAGCACUACAAAAAGGCAUGGCAAAAAAACAUGUUCGGGUAAAAGAGAGAGUUGCCAUGUGCUCACAAGCACGCCAGGGCAGUUGCCAUGUAAAGGGAAAGAGUUGCCAUCUGCUUACGUGCAAGCUAGGGCAGUUGCCAUGUACCAUGCAAAAACACAUGGCAACUCGGGUAAAAGAGAGUUGCCAUCUGCUUACAAGCAAAGCUAGGGCAGUUGCCAUGUACCCUGCAGAAACACAUGGCAACUGCCAGCUUUGGGUGUGGGCGAGGAGACGGGCGUGUGGGCGAAGUGAUAAACGCCCACACACCAAUCCUCUCUGCGUGCGUGAAAACUGGUGUGUGGGCGAAUUGCUAAAGCCCACACACCAGCCCUCCGUCUGGUGAAAAAGGACGUGUGGGUGACCGGAUGAAUGCCCACACACCAGCUUAGUCCUACGUGGCACACAAACACUAUUAGAACGCGUCAAGAUUCGUGCAGAAUUGGUUGGACGAGGAUCCAUGCGUGUGGGCGAGUUGCCAGACGCCCACACAUGUGGACGUUAGUGUUUUCUUUUUUUAAGAGAGAAAACAAGCCCAGUUGAAGAAAGUUGAAAAAAGCAAAAUCACUAAUUAAGGAGUACUCCUUGCAAAGAACACUCCAUCUUCCCAGGUCACGACAAGUGGCGCACAUGCAGCGCGCCACUUGUCGCAACCUGGGAGUUUUCCCUUUUUUCGUAGAUUCGUUUAUUCAAAACGUUUUAUCUCUUAAACCGUGCGUCCAAAUCUCAAACCGUUUUCACCAUUGGAUUCCUCGCGUUGAGAUCUUCAAAACUAGAUCCCAUGUUGAUAGGUUUUGACGAACUUUUUUUUCACGAAAAAAACCGGACGAAAAAACCAAACCGGGAGCACGGUUUUUUCCCUUUCCGAAAGAGGCACGCCCGUGCCUCUCGCGAAAUCACAACCAUGCCUCUCGUGGAAGCAAAACUGUGACUCUCGUGGAAAGAAAAAAACAGAAAACGCGUUUUUUUCCUUUUUCGAAAGAGGCACGCCCGUGACUCUCGCGAAAGCACAACCGUGCCUCUGGCAAAAGCAAAACCGUGGCUCUCGCGAAAGAAAAAAAAACAGAAAACACGUAUUUUUUCCCUUUCCAAGAGGCAUGGCCGUGACUCUCGUAAAAGCACAACCNNNNNNNNNNNNNNNNNNNNNNNNNNNNNNNNNNNNNNNNNNNNNNNNNNNNNNNNNNNNNNNNNNNNNNNNNNNNNNNNNNNNNNNNNNNNNNNNNNNNNNNNNNNNNNNNNNNNNNNNNNNNNNNNNNNNNNNNNNNNNNNNNNNNNNNNNNNNNNNNNNNNNNNNNNNNNNNNNNNNNNNNNNNNNNNNNNNNNNNNNNNNNNNNNNNNNNNNNNNNNNNNNNNNNNNNNNNNNNNNNNNNUUUUGUUUUUUCCUUUCCGAGAGGCACGGCCGUGACUCUCACGAAAGCACAACCGUGCCUCUCGCGGAAGUAAAACCGUGACUCUCGCGAAAGAAAAAAAACAGAAAACGCGUUUUUCUGUUUCCAAAAGGCACGACCGUGACUCUCGCGAAAAAAGUGACUUUUCACGAAAGAAAAAAAAAGUAAACGCGUUUUUUCGUGCAAAUUUUUUUUUGGUCGAAACGCUAAGGAAGACCGGGGAAAAACCAAAACGUCGAAAAAACCCGGGAAAAAACGUUUAAAAAGCCGAAAACGAGUGCGGAAAAAUAAAAAAAUAAAAUCUGGAGGGAGCGUCCAGAGCGCGACACGUGGCGAAUGGCUGAGAGCGCGCCAAAUGGCGCUGAUCGUUGCGAGGCUUCCGAAGGAGCGCUCGUUAACUAGUUGCUCCCUGAAAAAAGUGCCGGUCCUGUAAAUAAAAAAUGUUUGCAGGUAACGGAGCGCUUGGGCCAUUUACACGAUAUAAACCCCGGCCAUCCCCGGGUCAUGGACCUGCGUCGCGCGAUGUCUGUUUCUUGAUGAGAGUGUUGAGGCUGUGAUACAAGUAUCUGCAAGGAUUGACCGCCUUCGCCAUGUGAGGUUCACCACGUUCACUAGCGGCUUUAAUCAAGAGAUUGUGUUGUUUGAUGACAAGUUCUCUGGGAAUGGAAAAUUGUUCCGGCAUGUCGUCGCCGUGAAGGCCAAGGGGAAACUGGAUAUUUACUUAAAAUUGGAGGAAUCAUUGCUUUGGUGGAUUUUCCAGGAAGGAGUUGGUGGAGCUGCCAGGUCCCCUGAUGACCAAUUGUUAGAUUAUGCGCAGUUUGAUGUGAGGGUGCUUUUUGCUCCUAAGAACGUUACCAGGGCUGGAUGAAACAUAAAGCGAACUGAACAAGACAUACCGUUCUCUAAUAUCCAUGUCUUUCUUUUCUUUAUGUUAUUUAUUUACUAUUUGGAUAUCCUUUUGUAAGCCUUCUAGAAGUUUUUUUUUAAACACAGUACAGACGCAAGCGCUCAUUUUUUUUAGCAAGAAAGCUAGGUCUUUAUUGAUUAAUACCAAUGUUUACAGGAAAAGCGAUUGGGUCACUCGAUGUGCCCAACCAAAUAUGGUGCCCAAGAAUGCGCAAGCGCUCGUAUACAUGAGUCGACAUAUCAUCUUGAAAUUUACGAAGUUCACCUCGUCAUCGACGGAAACGUCUCCUCUCACGGAAUGCGCAUCGCCAGAAAUCUAGAAAUAAAUCCAGAAAUAAAUGCGAGCACCACCACAAUCCCUCUAACCAUCCAACCACAGGUUGGUUCACAAGCCUCCUAGAAGUCCGACGCCGGACUUCUAUAAUUUGACAAUACUAGUAUGUCUUAAGCUAGGCCCACACUCUGCUUAGUCAGGCCUUGGGAAAAUGUUUAUUUAGGCGUUUCCAUAUCCCGGUGCAACUGAGAUUUCUCAAUGCGCGUUUCAACUUUCAAUCAGUUCGAUAGAGAUGAAAAUAUAUUCUCAACUCACAAGCUCAACUCCGUGCAUAUGGAGUCGCCCAACCGCCGCGUCAGGUGAGAUAGCGCGUCUCAAGGUUACCACCAUAACCAUUCAUUUAUGUCCAUGCCUCGAAAUAGCACCCUUGCAACCUAUAUGAGCCUAAUGCUAUAUUUCAGGAUUUAAUGGACCAGCUGGCUGCUGAAGAGGAGCAAAGGCGGCAGGCUGAGCAAGAGAGCAGAGAUAAGGAACGAGCUGAGAUGAACGAAAGGCUCAAGCUGCUCGAGAAUCAACUACAGGUAGAACAUUCUCUAAACUAGAGUAGAACAUUCAUUAUAUACCAAUGAAUAAUGCUCACGUGACUCUUCUCUUAUAUGCUCUCAUGUUAUCUCAAAGCAGCGGAAAUGAUGCCUCCUUCAGAAUCUUAACAUGAUGGAAAUGAUGCCCCCCUCCUCCUCAAGAUGUUGUAUGAACAUGUGAACUUCUAUGUGAUGUGCAUGUGUUUUGCAAGUAGUGAACUUCCAUAAGUUAACCAUACGUAUGAAUUUGCGAACUUGUGUGUGCUGCGAACUAGUAUGAAACAUUCGCUUAUGUGAACUACUUUAAACUAUGCCUAUGUUGUGAUGUGUUGCUCGAUGAAUUUUUAGGGAGUUAGAAGCUCCCACAUUCAUUUGUUAUGAUAACAUUUUCUGCACUGUAUUUAGAUACAGAAAUUGCACUGUAGUUUGUUUCAGUUGCAGGGAUCAGAUAAGAAAGAGCUUAACAACAGAAGCAAUGGGACACAUUUUCGAGAGCUACACUCGGAAAAAGAGGGACUAGCGAGCGCAGCUCUCGGAAAAUGGGUCGUCUGAGCACUGAAACUACUGUUGUGCCAUUCUUUUCCGAGGGCACUCUCAGAAAAGGGGUCAGUUGAGCACUUUACUACUACAGUUGUGCCAUUCUUCUCCUAGGGUUGUGCACUCGGUAAAAGAUUAACUGCCACGUGGGACACCCGGGCCCACUGGUCAGUUUCGAAGGGUUUAGCCAACAGUUGUAUAUCGAGCAUUCCCGAGGAUGGCUCUCGGCAAAGGCAUUGCCAUUUUUUUUUAAUAUUUAGCAAAUAAUUUAAAAGUUUUACUGAUAAAUGUAACCAGUGGAACCACAUGCCAGGUAGGAAUGUUUAUGUGACGUGUUUUUACUGAGCACAACGUCGCGGCUCUCGGUAUAGGUAAUAGAAAGUGACGGCGCCAUCAGUUGCGAACGGGCAUGCCACAUGGCUUCUCUUUGCCGUGUGGUGCUCUCGGCGUAUGCGCCGUUUACCAUGCAAUGCUUGUUCGCUGUGAGCCCGUGCCGGCAACGUUAGCUAGUUGCCGUGAAGCCAGGUUUGCCGAGUGUGGCUCUCGGCGUUGUUUACUUUUGCCGAGUGUCCGUGUUUUGGCUCUCGGCGAAGAGCCUGGCACCCGGCGCAUACGAAAAUUCCAGUAGUGAAAAAUAGAGACCAGAAUCAGACACACCGGAACCAAACCAGCAACAAACGCGGUCGGUCAAUGGGGUUCCCUAACCUUCGGCGGCUGCUCCGACGGUAAAAGGGAGGAGAACUCUAGGACCUUGUUCCGCAUGCACCCAACAGAUUAGGUUUGUUCACUUACGGUUGUUGGAUGUCCAAGGCUUCGACUCCUAUGGUGGCGAUGACGUCAAGGAAGAAGGUUCAUGCAGAUCUACCUCCAACGCGUGGUUCUUUGGGAGGUAAUGUUCGUGUCAUCUGAAUUCUUUCUGAUUUGAGCAAACACAUUGUGCAUCAUGUUCAUAACAUCAAGGUGAUGACGGUGGCACGCCUCAUCCGUGUUGAAGGAGGUGGAAUUUUGUGUUUGUCACCUCCAACCCUUUUCCUUGUCCUCUUCUUCGAAGCGACGAUCCAAUCUUCAGAUAGUGCGUGGCCACUGGCGUCAUGUUUAUAACAUCGAGGUGAUGACGGUGGCAUGCCUCAUCCGCGUUGGAGGAGGUGGAGUUUUGUCUUUGUCACCUCCAACCCUUCUCCUUGUCAUCUUCUCUGAAGCGGCGAUCUAAUCUUUGGAUAGUGUGUAACCACCGGCGUCAUGUGGAGUAGCUUGGCGACUUCCUGGGUGCUCCGCCGCGGAUUCAAAGUCUUACUCCAGCGGUAUGCGGAGUUCCAGUUGCAACACCGAGCAUGGCUCACGAUGCGGCGCGAGCGUGUGCAGGACGAACAUGGCCUUGGCUUCUCUUGUUCAUUUGGAAUUUUAGCCUUCAAAAGUUUUUACGAGUACAUGAAAAGAUAAGUUAUCGGAUGAGCAAUGAGAGGUAGCUAACCUUUCGCACGGAUUUACUGUUCGGUACUGUUUUGUUAACUUCAAGAUUUGUAGUAUAUCCCUCAUUUUCUACCAGUAAUUCUACUAUUCUGUUUUUCCUUUCAUUUGACCAAUUUGGGUGCGUAAACCCAAUAGUACGUAACAACCAUGCAUCCGGGGAUAUAAAUAUAUAUUCCCUCCAUUUUUAUUUACUCCGCAUAUUAGCUUUGACACAAGUCAAACUUUAUAAAAUUUGACCAAGUUUAUCGAAAAUAAUAUAAGCUUUCAUAAUAAAAAUAUAUAUUGUAUGAUGAUUCUAAUGAUAUCGAUUUGGUAUUGUAUUUUUUAAUAAACCUGAUCAAAGUUUAACCAGAGACGGAGCUAAUAUGUGAUACGCACGUUAUAUUCGUCAAAAAAAAAUGGAUAUGCACAUUACCGAAAAAGGGUUUUCCCCGCUUUGUAUUCCAAAGCAAUGAACACCAUACACAUAGCUUUGCUAGGGCGAGCAGCACAUCAAGCCCCAAAAAAAAGAAGAAAAAAAAUGCCAACAACGGCAGCUUGACAAACAUGGAUGAACCGCCACCGCUGCGCCCUCCGAAGACAAACCACCACAACCCGAGGCUCCGAUCUGCCGUGUACUAAGCAACGCCUUCAAGAAGGGAUGCAACGCCGACGACGCUGCCGCCCGGACGAGUCCUAGGGUUUCCCCCGGUACACGGAGGGAAGUGGAGGAUGGCUACCACCGACACCCUCCAAAAAGGAAUGGUGGCACCUGCCGGUGUCACCGCAUCAGAGCCGGGCGAACCGGCAAGGAUUUCUCCCGCACUCCAACCACACCGCCCAAUCGAAGCCGACCAGCCAAACCACCGUCCAACACCCUCGAUUUGUUGUGUGAUGACUAGGUUGAGGCGUUGAGCUUAUCGACAGGGAACCUUCUUGUAAGAAAGAUGGUAGUUAUGUCGACGAUCAGUAUGGGCGAAACGGAAAUGGAAGAAAGAGGGACUUUGCUUUUGCUCGUGAAGGUGUUGGUACAAUCACAUCAUCAGGUGGGUUUGCGCGUCUUCUUUAUGCCCAGGUGGAAUUUCCAUCAGACUGCGUGUGUUGCAAGUGGCAUCCAAACCUAUCCAAACAGGGCACGGUGGAACAUGAAUCAUGACGAGGACGACGCAUGUAGGCAGCCAAUUUACUUAUAGAAGGAAAUGGAGGCAGAUCAUGCACUCUAGUGAAAACGUAUGUUACUUGUAUAUUUCAAUAGAUAAUAUUUUAGGCUUUUUAGUGUUAUUCUUUUAAUGGUAGUCAAUUACGAGUUGCGUGUGGUGACUCUGUCAAUCACAAGAUCCGUCGAGUCGGUCUCUCAGAAAAUCAAGAUGGCUAAUGGUUUGCAAAGUUUUAUUCCUGAAACCUACUCCAUUUCAUUCCUAGAAUUUAGGGAUGAACUCGUUGUACAUCUUCACUACUAUUAAACAAUCAAAUAAAAACUUUUUUACGUGCACCCCGCUAAGUGUACAUCGGUUAGUUAGCACCGUCUGAUUAUCUAAAUCAAUGAAAUCUAACAUAUUAGAUUAAUCUAAUGAGUUAUUAGGGGUGCAGUUAGCAAUUAUAGUAGGCUGACCACCGCUCCGGACGAAAACUUCCCCUCCGUCAGUUUCUCUCUCUUAACCAGAAAUCUCUCUCCUAAAUAGAUAAAUAAAUCAACAAUCAAUUUCUAAUUAAUAGGGAUGACAAUAUAGCUAAUGCUUGCAAGCAGGCAUAUGUGAUCCAUGCAAACCGGCUACUCCCGCAUCAAUUCCUCGUCCAAUCAACGCCUCCAUAGUCUACAUGCAUUUGCUGUUACGGAGGGGAAAGAUUUUUGCGUGUGAGAGAAAGCCGCCAUGGCCUCUGCCAAGGAGCGGCGUCCCCGAUCUCGCCGAGCGGCGUCACCGUUCUCGUGCUGGGUUUGCCAAGCCCGGGGACAUGUCGGGGAUGAAGGCAUGCGUCGGUGUUGUCAGCACCGGGCAUGCAUAGACGGACGGAAAUGAUGCUGACGAAGCGCCACUCCAGGCUUGGCAGGUCCGGGGACAUGUCGUAGACAAAGGCACGCAUCGGUGUUGCUACCACUGGGCAUGCGAAGACGGGGACCUGCACGAGCUAUACGCCAUGUCGAGGCGGCCUAGCAGAGAAGGGCUCGAUGAUGGUUACAUCACAAACCGGCAUGGGGCCAAUGUCGCCCGCGGUGGUUAGAGUAGAUGAAGUGGUCGGGGAAGAUGGCGGCAACGCUGACGAUGAGUUGGUGCUGGACGAAGACGAAGGGGGUGGACGGCGGUGGCGGCUACCGGGGUAUCGGCUGCGAAAGAUGCGCGGCGGCGGCUGUGUUAGGAGCACGGUGCCGGUGCUCGAAGUAGGCGAGGAACCCAGCAGCGUGAUGAAGACGGGCGCAGAAGGUGGCGCUCCCGCGCCUAGGAAAGCGGCGCGACGCAUAUCAUGUAGAGUCGUCGCGCUGGGCGACGGAGUGGACCGCACGUCCCGGCACUACGGCCCGAAGAGGCAACAUAGCUGUAGCGUACUGGUCGGGGAGACAAGACCUCGGGGCGGCGGCGUGGACCACGACGCUACGGUCUGAAGGGGCGGCGCAGCGGUGGUGUGCGAGUCGGUGCAGCCAUGGGGACGACCUCGGGCAGCGAUGGGGACCACGGGCCAUGGUGCUACGGCCCAAAGGUGCGACGUAGCGGCGGCGGGUGAGUCGGUGCAGACGCGGUGGUGUGCGAGGCGGCGUCGCUGCGGCCCGAAGGUGCAACGUAGCGGCAGCCCAGCUCGAUCGGUUGAGAGGCGCGUUGUACUUGGGAGAAUCUUCACGGGAACUGCGGAGGCGCGCGCAACCGAUCGGCCAGACCGGUCGCACACCAUAGAUGAGGCGGAACGCGGGUGGGCAGGUGAUCAAUCCGAUCAUGCGCGAGAUCGGGGACGCCGCUGAAGGAAAUAUGCCCUAGAGGCAAUAAUAAAGUUGUUAUUUAUAUUUCCUUAUAUCAUGAUAAAUGUUUAUUAUUCAUGCUAGAAUUGUGUUAACCGGAAACUUAGUACAUGUGUGAAUACAUAGACAAACAGAGUGUCACUAGUAUGCCUCUACUUGACUAGCUCGUUGAAUCAAAGAUGGUUAAGUUUCCUAGCCAUAGACAUGAGUUGUCAUUUGAUUAACGGGAUCACAUCAUUAGAGAAUGAUGUGAUUGGCUUGACCCAUUCCGUUAGCUUAGCACUUGAUCGUUUAGUAUAUCGCUAUUGCUUUCUUCACGACUUAUACAUGUUCCUAUGACUAUGAGACUAUGCAACUCCUGAAUACCAGAGGAACACUUUGUGUGCUACCAAACGUCACAACGUAACUGGGUGAUUAUAAAGGUGCUCUACAGGUGUCUCCGAUGGUACUUGUUGAGUUGGCACAGAUCAAGAUUAGGAUUUGUCACUCCGAUUGUCGGAGAGGUAUCUCUGGGCCCUCUCGGUAAUGCACAUCACUAUAAGCCUUGCAAGCAAUGUGACUAAUGAGUUAGUUGCGAGAUGAUGCAUUACGGAAUGAGUAAAGAGACUUGCCGGUAACGAGAUUGAACUAGGUACUGAGAUACCGACGAUCGAAUCUUGGGCAAGUAACAUACCGAUGACAAAGGGAACAACGUAUGUUGUUAUGCGGUUUGACCGAUAAAGAGCUUCAUAGAAUAUGUAGGAGCCAAUAUGAGCAUCCAGGUUCUGCUAUUGGUUAUUAAUCGGAGACUUGUCUCGGUCAUGUCUACAUAGUUCUCGAACCUGUAGGGUCCGCACGCUUAACGUUCGGUGACGAUCGUAUUAUGAGUUUAUGUGUUUUGAUGUACCGAAGGUAGUUCGGAGUCCUGGAUAUGAUCAUGGACAUGACGAGGAGUCUCGAAAUGGUCGAUACAUAAAGAUCGAUAUAUUGGACGACUAUAUUUGGACAUCGGAAUGGUUCUGGGUGAGAUCGGGCAUUUACCGGUGUACCGGGAGGUUACCGGAACCCCCCGGGAGGUAUAUGGGCGUUAUUAGGCCAUAGUGGGAGAGAGGAGAAGGGAGCAAAGGAGGGGGCGCCCCCCAAGCCCAAUCCGAAUUGGGAGGGGGGCCGGCCCCCCUUUCCUUCCUCCUCCCCCCUUCCUUCCACUCCUAGCCCAACUAGGGAAGGGGGGAAUCCUACUCCCGGUGGGAGUAGGACUCCCCAUGGGGCGCGCCAUAGGAGGGCCGGCCCUCCCCCUCCUCCACUCCUUUAUAUACGGGGGAGGGGGGCACCCCAUAGACACACAAGUUGAUCAUUGAUCUCUUAGCCGUGUGCGGUGCCCCCUCCACCAUAAUCCACCUCGUUCAUAUCGUCGUAGUGCUUAGGCGAAGCCCUGCGCCGGUAGCUUCAUCGUCACUGUCAUCAGGCCGUCGUGCUGACGAAGCUCUUCCCCGACACUCUUCUGGAUCGUGAGUUCGUGGGACGUCACCGAGCCGAACGUGUGCAGAUCGCGGAGGUGCCGUACCUUCAGUACUAGGAUCGGUCGAUCGUGAAGACGUACGACUACAUCAACCGUGUUGAAAGGAUCGAUAUAGUUGACUAGAGGGGGGGUGAAUAGGCAACUAACAAUUUUUAGCUUUUCUUUACCAAAUUAAACUUUUGCAUCAAAAUAGGUUGUCUAGAUAUGCAACUAAGUGAGCAACCUAUAUGAUGCAAAGACAACAAGCAUGCAAGCAAAUAAGAGAUAUAACACGAGUAAACUUGCGAAAGUAAAGGGACGAGAUAACCAAUAGUGGAGCCGGUGAAGACGAGGAUGUGUUACCGAAGUUCCUUCAGUACGUCUCCGUUGGAGCGGUGUGGAGGCACAAUGCUCCCCAAGAAGCCACUAGGGCCACCGUAUUCUCCUCACGCCCUCACACAAUGCGAGAUGCCGUGAUUCCACUAUUGGUGCCCUUGAAGGCGGCGACCGGACCUUUACAAACAAGGUUGGGGCAAUCUCCACAACUUAAUUGGAGGCUCCCAACGACACCACAAAGCUUCACCACAAUGGACUAUGGCUCCGCGGUGACCUCAACCGUCUAGGGUGCUCAAACACCCAAGAGUAACAAGAUCCGCUAGGGAUAAGUGGGGGAAUCAAAUUUCUCUUGGUGGAAGUGUAGAUCGGGGCCUUCUCAACCAAUCCCGAGCAAAUCAACAAGUUUGAUUGGCUAGGGAGAGAGAUCGGGCGAAAAUGGAGCUUGGAGCAACAAUGGAGCUUUUGGGGGAAGAGGUGGGUCAACUUUGGGGAAGAAGACCUCCUUAUAUAGUGGGGGGAACAAUCCAACCGUUACCCCCCACACCAGCCCCGCAGAGAGCGGUACUACCGCAGGAGGCAGCGGUACUACCGCUGAUCACAGCGGUACUACCGCUGGGCCCAGAGCGGUACUACCACGGUGGUCAGGGCGGUACUACCGCAUAUGAGCGGUACUACGGCCCCCACUGCCGCGGCUAGUACCGUAAAACCCGACACGAAAAAAGACCCCUCGAAUCGAGGCAGUACUAGCACGAGACCGCAGCGGUACUACGGCUGGGGGCUACCAGCGGUACUACGGCUCUAGAGCGGUACUACCGCUUGUAGCCAUAAGCGGUACUACCGCUCCGGCCCGCGGUACUACCGCUGGGACCAGAGAGGGCACACUCAGAAGGGGAACGAGCCCAUCAUAGAAGCGAAAAGGCUCGGAGGGGGGCAAAGGAAGUGUACGUGAUGAUUCCGCCCUAGCCUUUCCAAAGCGAACCCCCUCUUGAUAGUACGGUGAUCCCUAUGAAACUAGUCCACCAAAAUAAUUCGAAAGGACUACACCGUCUUCGCUUCAAGCUCCGAGGGGAGGGAAUCGUCUCGUGCCAAAAGGAUGAAUCUCUGAAAACACUCAAUGCACACGAUUAGUCCGCAAAAGCAUUGUCAUCAAUCACCAAAACAUCUUAGGGAUAAAUAUGCCCUUACAAUCUCCCCCUUUUUUGUGGAUUGAUGACAAUACGGGAUUUGCACAAACGGGAAAAGACAAGGACAUAAGCAAACCCUAAAUCUCUAAAAUAUAGACGGGCUCCCCCUAGAUGUGUGCCAUCAAGAUAAGUGCUUUGGACUGCACGACACACAUACUAGGAUCAACACUCCCCCUGUAUUUUAGAGACCAACAACCUAAGCGAGAUUCAAGAGAGCAGGAUAUAUAACAUAAUAAGCAUGCAACUCAUGAGAUACCAAAUGACUAGAGACAUAGAUAAAGAUAUGAUAAGGAUAAGGUAGCAUAUAAGGUAGCAUAUGUCUCACACCAUAUGACUGGAACUAAGGUCUUACUGAACACAAAACCAAACAAAGCACAAGGUAGCAAACACAACAAAAGCACAAAGACAAAGACACACUCGCAACACAACGACGCAAAUCCCUAAACUCUCUCCCCCUUUGGCAUCGAGACACCAAAAGGGGCAAAGAGCUAACCUACGGCUCCAGGUGAGAGCAUGCUGAGGAUCUCGAACAUCAGGACUCUGCGUGAUCAUCUGCACCGCCGUCCUCGGCCGGACACUGCUCGGCAUCUGAAUCGGUCCACAGACAGUGCUGCUGGAUCCACUCCUCCUCCUCAGUGAUCUGACCCUCAGAGCCGCUGGUGACUGUCGCACCCAACUGACGCAUAAGCUCCUUGUGACGCCCCCUUGCCUUCUUCUCAGCCACAUGAGUCAUGUACUGACCAUGAGACUCCAUGCAGAACAGCUUCUUCAUCUUGUGUUUGAGCUUCUUUGCCCAAGAGGGCUCUGCCGCAGAAGGCUCUAUCCCAGAAGGCACAUAAUCCUCAUCGUCAUCAUCGGCAUCAGUCUCGCCCUCGGUCUCCAUGGCAGCAGCAGAAGAUGGAACUCCAGAUCUAGGAAUGCCCCAAUUAUCCUUCUUCCCCAGACGCUUGAUCUCAUGAGAAACCAACUCUCCAGUUUCCAGGUGCUCCUCGGGAUAGGUACGUCUCCAGGCCUUCUCAAUGAGCAACAUAAUGAACGGACCAUAAAUCGGGCACUUGCGCUCAGAAAUAGCAGCAAGAAGUUCAGACCACAUAACAUGAGAGAUGUCCAGGGACUCGCCAGUGUUUGCGUCCUUCUCACGCUGGCAGAAGAGAAGCAUGUCCACGAGAUAAGAGUGUACCAUGUACAGAUUCCCGAUACGAGGGAAGAGAGUCUCGCGGAAGAUACGGUGAAGGAUGUCCAGAUAGGUAGACAACUCAUAGGUUUCCUUCCUGGUCUCAGGGUUAACCUUCCGAGUACAGUAGGGCCAGAGAGCUUGCUUGUGAGUGGAGGUAACAUUGUGGUGAGGACGAAAUCCGACUGGAGUCUCGAGCCCUUGAUCUUCCACCUCUAGCAACCCCAUGAAGGCCUUCCACUUGACAGCUAGCACCUUCCCAUUAGUCAUCCAAGUCAGGGUCCUGUCUUCAUCAGUUCCUAGGUGGACAGUGGCAAAGAACUGAGCCAGCAAAUCUGCAUCAAAGUCCUUGUUGAACUGCAUGAUGCUGAGAAUGUUCAACUCAGAGCACAUCUGAAGGGCAUCACCAAAGUACUCAGGGUCCUUCUCCAUAGCAUCCGUGUUGAUGGAAUGAACAUUGACAAAGAGGUUCUUCUUAGCCUUGAUCACGUCAAAGUAGGUGGCAUACUGAAACCGGUUCCAGAACGGGCGAUUGACAAGGUUGGGUUCUUGGUCUUCCUCAUAUGGGUUGCGGCGACGCCUGUCCCAGAAUUCCUUGCUAGUCAUCUCAGUCACCUUCUUGCCACUUGGCUUCGGCCUGUUGGUAGUCUUCUUCUUGAGAGGAGGAUUGGCACUUGAGGAAGCACCCACUGGCGGCGGUGGAGCACUGGAAGAACCACCUGCAGCCUCAGAUGUGCGGUACCGCUUUGACGUUGAACGCCCGGGGUUGACACGGCGGACUUGCUGCUCAGGAUGUUCAUCACCUGGAACCAAACACGGACACACGAAACAACCAGAAGGAACGAUCAAAACCAAAUAAACACAACAAAUAUGGAUCAACAUGUGGUAGGAAACGAUGGAACUGGGCAUCUGGCGGUAGUACCGUGCCUGCACAGCGGCAGUACCGCACCAGCGGUAGUACCGCACCUCCAUAGCGGCAGUACCGCUCCAGCGGUAGUACCGUGCCAGAUGGGCGGUAGUACCGCCCGAGACGGGGCACAGAGGAUUCCUACUGCCGUGGUCAGAUCCGGCACUACCGGGGAUGCCAAAUUCAAAAAUAAACCUACCAAACAUCAAUCCAAAGAGUCUAGUUGCCUUCUCCAACCUACUCAAGCCUAGAUUUGGCCAAAAAUCUAGAGAUGCAACCACUAUUGCCCCUAAAACGCGAGAUCUGAAAACUAGACAAGAAGAGAAGAGGAACGGGGGCAAUACCGGCAUCCAUGGCAAGAGGACGAGGUGGGGAUCGACUCCACCGAAGGAAAUGGAGAGGAACGGUCCGGAGACGGAGGGCCGCCGGAGCCCUCCCGCGGCGAGAUGGCGCUGGAGAGAGAGGAAGAGGAACGAGGGGACGAAGCAAAUGGGUAUGGGGGAGGAAACCACCCCUGCCCACGACUUAACCCCCUGGCCCCGCCCCUCACAGGUAGUACCGUGGUGAUGGGCGGUAGUACCGCUCAGCGGUAGUACCGUGGUGAUGGGCGGUAGUACCGCUCCAGCGGUAGUACCGUGCCUUCACAACGGUAGUACCGCCCAGCGCAACUCAAAACAAGACUCAACACCUAUGGCACAAAAAGAAAAGAAGGGAAAUGACGGCAAGAGGAGAAAACCAACACAAAGCAACAAGAGCACCAGCACGAGAACAAGAACCACACACCUCUACACGAGAGGGCGGUGGCCGAGGCCACCUAUGUUUGAGUCAAUUGGUAUGGCACCUCGAAGAAUUAUCCUUGGGCCCAUGACCAAAACUCGUCUUUGAAGCACAAGUACCAUCAAAAAUGGCUAAUGUGAAAGAGUGAGUUUAGUUUAUGCAUUAUGGGGGGCUUCUCAAUGGACUAUGGCUCCGCGGUGACCUCAACCGUCUAGGGUGCUCAAACACCCAAGAGUAACAAGAUCCGCUAGGGAUAAGCGGGGGGAAUCAAAUUUCUCUUGGUGGAAGUGUAGAUCGGGGCCUUCUCAACCAAUCCCGAGCAAAUCAACAAGUUUGAUUGGCUAGGGAGAGAGAUCGGGCGAAAAUGGAGCUUGGAGCAACAAUGGAGCUUUUGGGGGAAAAGGUGGGUCAACUUUGGGGAAGAAUACCUCCUUAUAUAGUGGGGGGCACAAUCCAACCGUUACCCCCCACACCAGCCCCGCAGAGAGCGGUACUACCGCAGGAGGCAGCAGUACUACCGCUGAUCACAGCGGUACUACCGCUCCCCCGGGCGGUACUACCGCUGGGCCUAGAGCGGUACUACCGCGGUGGUCAGGGCGGUACUACCGCAUAUGAGCGGUACUACGGCCCCACUGCCGCGGCUAGUACCGUAAAACCCGACACGAAAAAAGACCCCUCGAAUCAAGGCGGUACUAGCACGAGACCGCAGCGGUACUACGGCUGGGGGCUACCAGCGGUACUAUGGCUCUAGAGCGGUAGUACCGCUCUUAGAGCGGUACUACCGCUUGUAGCCAUAAGCGGUACUACCGCUCCGGCCGCGGUACUACUGCUGGGACCAGAGAGGGCACACUCAGAAGGGGAACGAGCCCAUCAUAGAAGCCGAAAGGCUCGGAGGGGGGCAAAGGAAGUGUACGUGAUGAUUCCGCCCUAGCCUUUCCAAAGCGGACCCCCUCUUGAUAGUACGGUGAUCCCUAUGAAACUAGUCCACCAAACUAAUUCGAAAGGACUACACCGUCUUCGCUUCAAGCUCCGAGGGGAGGGAAUCGUCUCGUGCCAAAAGGAUGAAUCUCUGAAAACACUCAAUGCACACGAUUAGUCCGCAAAAGCAUUGUCAUCAAUCACCAAAACAUCUUAGGGAUAAAUAUGCCCUUACACGUGUUGUCACAACGCUUCCGCUUACGGUCUACGAGGGUACGUACACCACACUCUCCCUUCUCGUUGCUAUGCAUCACCAUGAUCUUGCGUGUGCGUAGGAUUUUUUUUGAAAUUACUACGUUCCCCAACAGUGGCAUCCGAGCUAGGUUUAGAUGUUAUAUGCACGAGUAGAACACAAGUGAGUUGUGGGCGAUACUAGUCAUACUGCUUACCAGCAUGUCAUACUUUGAUUCGGCGGUAUUGUUGGAUGAAGCAGCCCGGACCGACAUUACGUGUACGCUUACGCGAGACUGGUUCUACCGACGUGCUUCGCACACAGGUGGCUGGCGGGUGUCAGUUCCUCCAACUUUAGUUGAAUCGAGUGUGGCUACGCCCGGUCCUUGUUGAAGGUUAAAACAGCACAUACUUGAUGAAAUAUCGUUGUGGUUUUGAUGCAUAGUUAAGAACGGUUCUUGCUCAGCCCGUAGCAGCCACGUAAAACUUGCAACAACAAAGUAGAGGACGUCUAACUUGUUUUUGCAGGGCAAAUUGUGAUGUGAUAUGGUCAAGACGCGAUGCUAAAUUUUAUUGUAUGAGAUGAUCAUGUUUUGUAACGGAGUUAUCGGCAACUGGCAGGAGCCAUAUGGUUGUCGCUUUAUUGUAUGAAAUGCAAUCGCCAUGUAAUUGCUUUACUUUAUCACUAAGCGGUAGCGAUAUUCGUGGAAGCAAUAGCUGGCGAGACGACAACGAUGCUCUGAUGGAGAUCAAGGUGUCGCGCCGGUGACGAUAUGAUCAUGAUGGUGCUUUGGAGAUGGAGAUCAAAGGCACAAGAUGAUGAUGGCCAUAUCAUAUCACUUAUAUUGAUUGCAUGUGAUUUUUAUCUUUUAUGCAUCUUAUUUUGCUUAGUUCGGCGGUAGCAUUAGAAGAUGAUCUCUCAAUAAAUUUCAAGGUACAAGUGUUCUCCCUGAGUAUGCACCGUUGUGAAAGUUCAUCGUGCCGAGACACCACGUGAUGAUCGGGUGUGAUAAGCUCUACGUUCACAUACAGCGGGUGCAAGCCAGUUUUGCACACGCAGAAUACUCGGGUUAAACUUGACGAGCCUAGCAUAUGCAGAUAUGGCCUCGGAAUACUGAGACCAAAAGGUCGAGCGUGAAUCAUAUAGUAGAUAUGAUCAACAUAGUGAUAUUCACCAUUGAAAACUACUCCAUCUCACGUGAUGAUCAGACAUGGUUUAGUUGAUAUGGAUCACGUGAUCACUUAGAUGAUUAGAGGGAUGUCUAUCUAAGUGGGAGUUCUUAAGUAAUUUGAUUAAUUGAACUUUAAUUUAUCAUGAUCUUAGUACCUGAUAGUAUUUUGCAUGUCUAUGUUGUUGUAGAUAGAUGGCCCGUGCUGUUGUUCCAUUGAAUUUUAAUGCGUUCCUAGAGAAAGCUAAGUUGAAAGAUGAUGGUAGCAACUACACGGACUGGGUCCGUAACUUGAGGAUUAUCCUCAUUGCUGCACAGAAGAAUUACGUCCUGGAAGCACCGCUAGGUGCCAAACCCGCUGCAGGAGCAACGCCAGAUGUUAUGAAUGUCUGGCAAUGCAAAGCUGAUGACUACUCAAUAGUUCAGUGUGCCAUGCUUUACGGCUUAGAACCGGGACUUCAACGACGUUUUGAACAUCAUGGAGCAUAUGAGAUGUUCCAGGGGUUGAAGUUAAUAUUUCAAGCAAAUGCCCGGAUUGAGAGAUAUGAAGUCUCCAAUAAGUUUUACAGCUGCAAGAUGGAGGAGAAUAGUUUUGUCAGUGAGCAUAUACUCAAAAUGUCUGGGUAUAACAAUCACUUGAUUCAACUGGGAGUUAAUCUUCCGGAUGAUAGUGUCAUUGACAGAAUUCUUCAAUCACUGCCACCAAGCUACAAGAGCUUCGUGAUGAACUAUAACAUGCAAGGGAUGGAUAAGACAAUUUCGAAGCUCUUCGCGAUGCUAAAGGUUGCGGAGGUAGUUAUCAAGAAGGAGCAUCAAGUGUUGAUGGUCAACAAGACCACCAGUUUCAAGAAAAAGGGUAAAGGGAAGAAGGGGAACUUCAAGAAGAACGGCAAGCAAGUUGCUGCUCAAGUGAAGAAACCCAAGUCUGGACCUAAGCCUGAGACUGAGUGCUUCUACUGCAAAGGGACUGGUCACUGGAAGCGGAACUGCCCCAAGUAUUUGGCGGAUAACAAGGAUGGCAAGGUGAACAAAGGUAUAUGUGCUAUACAUGUUAUUGAUGUGUACCUUACUAAUGCUCGCAGUAGCACCCCGGUCUUUGAUACUGGUUCUGUUGCUAAUAUUUGCAACUCGAAACAGGGACUACGGAUUAAGCGAAGAUUGGCUAAGGACGAGGUGACGAUGCACGUGGGAAAUGGUUCCAAAGUCGAUGUUAUCGCAGUCGGCACGCUACCUCUACAUCUACCUUCGGGAUUAGUUUUAGACCUGAAUAAUUGUUAUUUGGUGCCAGCGUUGAGCAUGAACAUUAUAUCUAGAUCUUGUUUGAUGCGAGACGGUUAUUCAUUUAAAUCAGAGAAUAAUGGUUGUUCUAUUUAUAUGAGUAAUAUCUUUUAUGGUCAUGCACCCUUGAACAGUGGUCUAUUUAUAUUGAAUCUCGAUAGUAGUGAUACACAUAUUCAUAAUAUUGAAGCCAAAAGAUGCAGAGUUGAUAAUGAUAGUGCAACUUAUUUGUGGCACUGCCGUUUAGGUCAUAUUGGUGUAAAGCGCAUGAAGAAACUCCAUUCUGAUGGACUUUUCGAAUCACUUGAUUAUGAAUCACUUGGUACUUGCGAACCAUGCCUCAUGGGCAAGAUGACUAAAACUCCAUUCUCCGGAAAAAUGAAGCGAGCAAUAGAUUUGUUGGAAAUCAUACAUACUGAUGUAUGUGGUCCGAUGAAUGUUGAGGCUCGCGGCGGGUAUCGUUGUUUUCUCGCCUUCACAGAUGAUUUGAGCAUAUAUGGGUAUAUCUACUUGAUGAAACAUAAGUCUGAAACAUUUGAAAAGUUCAAAGAAUUUCAGAGUGAAGUGGAAAAUCAUCGUAACAAGAAAAUAAUGUUUCUAUGAUCUGAUCGUGGAGGAGAAUAUUUAAGUUACGAGUUUGGUCUUCAUUUGAAACAAUGCGGAAUAGUUUCGCAACUCACGCCACCCGGAACACCACAGCGUAAUGGUGUGUUCGAACGUCGUAAUCGCACUUUACUAGAUAUGGUGCGAUCUAUGAUGUCUCUUACUGAUUUACCACUAUCGUUUUGGGGUUAUGCUUUAUAGACGGCUGCAUUCACGUUAAAUAGGGCACCAUCUAAAUCCGUUGAGACGACACCUUAUGAACUGUGGUUUGGCAAGAAACCAAAGUUUUCAUUUCUUAAAGUUUGGGGCUGUGAUGCUUAUGUGAAAAGCUUCAACCUGAUAAGCUCGAACCCAAAUCAAGGAAAUGUGUCUUCAUAGGAUGCCCAAAGGAGACUGUUGGGUACACCUUCUAUCACAGAUCCGAAGGCAAGACAUUCGUUGCUAAGAAUGGAUCCUUUCUAGAGAAGGAGUUUCUCUCGAAAGAAGUGAUUGGGAGGAAAGUAGAACUUGAUGAAGUAACUGUACCUGCUCCCUUAUUGGAAAGUAGUUCAUCAUAGAAAUCAGUUCCUGUGACUCCUACACCAAUUAGUGAGGAAGCUAAUGAUGAUGAUCAUGUAACUUCAGAUCAAGUUACUACCGAACCUCGUAGGUCAACCAGAGUAAGAUCCGCACCAGAGUGGUACGGUAAUCCUGUUCUGGAGGUCAUGUUACUUGACCAUGAUGAACCUACGAACUAUGAGGAAGUGAUGAUGAGCCCAGAUUCCGCAAAAUGGCUUGAGGCCAUGAAAUCUAAGAUGGGAUCCAUGUAUGAGAACAAAGUGUGGACUUUGGUUGACUUGCCCGUUGAUCGGCAAGCCAUCGAGAAUAAAUGGAUCUUCAAGAAGAAGACUGACGCUGACGGUAAUGUUACUGUCUACAAAGCUCGAUUUGUUGUGAAAGGUUUUCGACAAGUUCAAGGAGUUGACUACGAUGAGACCUUCUCACCCGUAGCGAUGCUUAAGUCCGUCCGAAUCAUGUUAGCAAUUGCCGCAUUUUAUGAUUAUGAAAUUUGGCAAAUGGAUGUAAAGACUGCAUUCCUGAAUGGAUUUCUGGAAGAAGAGUUGUAUAUGAUGCAACCUGAAGGUUUUAUCGAUCCAAAGGAUGCUAACAAAGUGUGCAAGCUCCAGCGAUCCAUUUAUGGACUGGUGCAAGCAUCUUGGAGUUGGAAUAAACAUUUUGAUAGUGUGAUCAAAGCAUAUGGUUUUAUACAGACUUUUGGAGAAGCCUGUAUUUACAAGAAAGUGAGUGGGAGCUCUGUAGCAUUUCUAAUAUUAUAUGUGGAUGACAUAUUUUUGAUUGGAAAUGAUAUAGAAUUUCUGGAUAGCAUAAAAGGAUACUUGAAUAAGAGUUUUUCAAUGAAAGACCUCAGUGAAGCUGCUUAUAUAUUGGGCAUCAAGAUCUAUAGGGAUAGAUCAAGACGCUUAAUUGGACUUUCACAAAGCACAUACCUUGACAAAGUUUUGAAAAAGUUCAAAAUGGAUCAAGCAAAGAAAGGGUUCUUGCCUGUGUUACAAGGUGUGAAGUUGAGUCAGACUCAGUGCCCGACCACUGCAGAAGAUAGAGAGAAAAUGAAAGGUGUUCCCUAUGCUUCAGCCAUAGGCUCUAUCAUGUAUGCAAUGCUGUGUACCAGACCUGAUGUGUGCCUUGCUAUUAGUUUAGCAGGGAGGUACCAAAGUAAUCCAGGAGUGGAUCACUGGACAGCGGUCAAGAACAUCCUGAAAUACCUGAAAAGGACUAAGGAUAUGUUUCUUGUUUAUGAAGGUGACAAAGAGCUCGUCGUAAAUGGUUACGUCAAUGCAAGCUUUGACACUGAUCCGGAUGACUCUAAGUCACAGGCCGGAUACGUAUUUAUAUUGAACGGUGGAGCUGUCAGUUGGUGCAGUUCUAAGCAAAGCGUCGUGGCGGGAUCUACGUGUGAAGCUUAGUACAUAGCUGCUUCGGAAGCAGCAAAUGAAGGAGUCUGGAUGAAGGUGUUCAUAUCCGAUCUAGGUGUCAUACCUAGUGCAUCGGGUCCAAUGAAAAUCUUUUGUGACAAUACUGGUGCAAUUGCCUUGGCAAAGGAAUCCAGAUUUCACAAGAGAACCAAGCAUAUCAAGAGACACUUCAAUUCCAUCCGCGAUCAAGUCAAGGAGGGAGACAUAGAGAUUUGCAAGAUACAUACGGAUCUGAAUGUUAUAAACCCGUUGACUAAGCCUCUCUCAUGAGAAAAACAUGAUCAGCACCAAGACUCCAUGGGUGUUAGAAUCAUUACUGUGUAAUCUGGAUUAUUGACUCUAGUGCAAGUGGGAGACUGAAGAAAAUAUUCCCUAGAGGCAAUAAUAAAGUUGUUAUUUACAUUUCCUUAUAUCAUGAUAAAUGUUUAUUAUUAAUGCUAGAAUUGUAUUAACCGGAAACUUAGUACAUGUGUGAAUACAUAGACAAACAGAGUGUCACUAGUAUGCCUCUACUUGACUAGCUCGUUGAAUCAAAGAUGGUUAAGUUUCCUACCAUGGACAUGAGUUGUCAUUUGAUUAACGGGAUCACACCAUUAGAGAAUGAUGUGAUUGACUUGACCCAUUCCGUUAGCUUAGCACUUGAUCGUUUAGUAUAUUGCUAUUGCUUUCUUCAUGACUAUACAUGUUCCUAUGACUAUGAGAUUAUGCAACUCCCGAAUACCGGAGGAACACUUUGUGUGCUACCAAACGUCACAACAUAACUGGGUGAUUAUAAAGGUGCUCUACAGGUGUCUCCGAUGGUACUUGUUGAGUUGGCAUAGAUCAACAUUAGGAUUUGUCACUCCGAUUGUCAGAGAGGUAUCUCUGGGCCCUCUCGGUAAUGCACAUCACUAUAAGCCUUGCAAGCAAUGUGACUAAUGAGUUAGUUGCGGGAUGAUGCAUUACAGAACGAGUAAAGAGACUUGCCGGUAAUGAGAUUGAACUAGGUAUUGAGAUACCGACGAUCGAAUCUCGGGCAAGUAACAUACCGAUGACAAAGGGAACAACGUAUGUUGUUAUGCGGUUUGACCGAUAAAGAUCUUCGUAGAAUAUGUAGGAGCCAAUAUGAGCAUCCAGGUUCCGCUAUUGGUUAUUGAUCGGAGACGUGUCUCGAUCAUGUCUACAUAGUUCUUGAACCCGAAGGGUCCGCACGCUUAACGUUUGGUGAUGAUCGUAUUAUGAGUUUAUGUGUUUUGAUGUACCGAAGGUAUUUCGGAGUCCCGAAUAUGAUCACGGACAUGACGAGGAGUCUCGAAAUGGCCGAGACAUAAAGAUCGAUAUAUUGGACGACUAUAUUUGGACACCGGAAUGGUUCCGGGUGAGAUCGGGCAUUUACCGGUGUACCGGGAGGUUACCAGAACCCCCCGAGAGGUAUAUGGGCCUUAUUGGGCCAUAGUGGGAGAGAGGAGAAGGGAGCAAAGGAGGGGGCGCCCCCCCAAGCCCAAUCCGAAUUGGGAGGGGGGCCGGCCCCCCUUUCCUUCCUCCUUCCUCCCCCUUCCUUCCACUCCUAGUCCAACUAGGGAAGGGGGGGAAUCCUACUCCUGGUGGGAGUAGGACUCCCCAUGGGGAGCCCCAUAGGAGGGUCGGCCCUCCCCCUCCUCCACUCCUUUAUAUAUGGGGGAGGGGGCACCCCAUAGACACACAAGUUGAUCAUUGAUCUCCUAGCCGUGUGCGGUGCCCCCCUCCACCAUAAUCCACCUCGGUCAUAUCGUCAUAGUGCUUAGGCGAAGCCCUGCGCCGGUAGCUUCAUCAUCACCGUCAUCACGCCGUCGUGCUGACGAAGCUCUUUCCCGACACUCUGCUAGAUCGUGAGUUCGUGGGACGUCACCGAGCCGAACGUGUGCAGAUCGCGGAGGUGCCGUACCUUCGGUACUAGGAUCGGUCGAUCGUGAAGACAUCGACUACAUCAACCGCGUUGUCAUAACGCUUCCAAUUACGGUCUACGAGGGUACGUAGACAACACUCUCCCUCUCGUUGCUAUGCAUCACCAUGAUCUUGCGUGUGCGUAGGAAUUUUUUUGAAAUUACUACGUUCCCUAAUAGCCGCUCGGUGGAGGCGGAGUUCGAGAUGAAGCCAACGAUGACGGUCGGCGUGGGACGAUGUGCGGACGAGCGAAAACAGCCCGAGGCAGGCGGUGUGCCCGACUGAUACGUCCAUUUUGCAUCAUAUUUUCCUGAUAUUUAUUGCAAUUGGGACUGUUAUUUCACUUUAUGAUACAAUUCUUAUGUCUUUUCUCUCUUAUUUUGCAAGUUUCACAUGAAGAGGGAGAUUGCCGGCUGCUGGAAUUAUGGACCGAAAAAGGCUACAUCAGAGAUACAUAUUCUACACAACUCCAAAUGACCUGAAACUUUACGGAGAUUUAUUUUAAAAAAUAUAAAAAAUACUGGAGAAGGAAUUACCAGAGGGGAACCCACCAGGUAGCCACAAGCCUGGGUGCGCGCCCUAACCCCCAGGGCGUGCCCCCCGAGCUUGUGGGGCCCCUGGAAGGCCUCAGAAGCCCAUCAUCUGAUAUAUCGCAUAUGUCGGCGGUGGACGUAUGUCACUCACUGCAGCUCAUACGGGGGCAGAUGAGCACGAGCACCGGUGGCUCCCGGGCUGCCCAGGACCUAUUCGACUGAAUGAUAGAACAAGAGUCAGUAUGUUUUGUAUCGUAUGAUCGAUGUGUAUGGAUUGCAUGGAUUUGAGGAUCCACUUUUGAGGUAUGUGGAUGUGCAGCACAAGAUAUGAGGGGUUGGUAGGCGUUGUUCGCAGACGCGCCGAAAUGCGCUCGCGGGUGUAUGGGGGGGGGGCGGAUUUGCCAAGCCCAGCAGUAGAUGCUCUAACAGCCGGACGACUCAAACCAUCCCUAAUACGUCUGCGUACACGCCCGAUCAGUGACCAGACAGGAGAGAGAAGGAAAAAUGUGACCCAACCGGACCCCUUGAUCAUCCUUAUACGCCCGGGCUGUCCACAAACCCUCGUAUCCAUCUCAAAUAUGGGGAGGAUAUGAGGGUUCGCGGACGCACCCAGGUGCGCCCGGGCAUUCCGCCAUGUAGGACGCGGCCCCACUGUCGGUGUCAAAACCGGCGGAUCUCGGGUAGGGGGUCCCGAACUGUGCGUCUAAGGCGGAUGGUAACAGGAGACGGGGGACACGAUGUUUACCCAGGUUCGGGCCCUCUCGAUGGAGGUAAUACCCUACUUCCUGCUUGAUUGAUCUUGAUGAUAUGAGUAUUACAAGAGUUGAUCUACCACGAGAUCGUAGAGGCUAAACCCUAGAAGCUAGCCUAUGGUAUGAUUGUUGUUGUCCUACGGACUAAACCCUCCGGUUUAUAUAGACACCGGAGGGGGCUAGGGUUACACAGAGUCGGUUAUAAGGGAUGAGAUCUACAUAUCCGUAUUGCCAAGCUUGCCUUCCACGCCAAGGAGAGUCCCAUCCGGACGAGACGAAGUCUUCAAUCUUGUAUCUUCAUAGUCCAACAGUCCGGCCAAAGGAUAUAGUCCGGCUGUCCGAGGACCCCCUAAUCCAGGACUCCCUCAGUAGCCCCUGAACCAGGCUUCAAUGACGAUGAGUCCGGCGCGCAGAUUGUCUUCGGCAUUGCAAGGCGGGUUCCUCCUCCGAAUACUCUAGAAGAUUUUGAACACAAGGAUAGUGUCCGGCUCUGCAAAACAAAUUCCACAUACCACCGUAGAGAGAAUAAUAUUUCCACAAAUCUAAUCUGCUGACAGCUUUUCAUAACAUGACGUUCUGUCGUGGUUUGGUCAUGACGAACCGUUUUUCCAAGCCUGCCACUUCACGUGUUGCGAGGCCGUUUUAUUGGCACGUCCUGUCGAAGCAGAGAUCGUGUCCCUUUUUUCAUGGGAUUCUCAUCAAUACGGGCGUGGGUAACCCCAUCGCGCCUGCUGGUAUGACUCCUCGAUUUUAGGCAAGUUCCAAACGGCCAAACGGAGGACGCUUGAUAUUCACCCUCUUUAUAAAGGGGCCAAGGCCUGUCCUUUUCUUCUCGCACUCAAUCGAAUCCUUCCCCCACCUCGAGUUCCAACACCCAAGGCUCAGGCUAGGCACUUCGGACCUUCAGUCAUGUCCGGAUCCAACCUUCAAGGUCGGCGGAUGCCCUCCUCUGUCACAGAGGAGGACAUCAAGAAGCUAAGAGAAGCCAGGUAUCUGACCGCCGAAAUCUCGCACAGGCUGCCUGCUCGAGGGCAGGUCAUCCCCACUCCCAAACCCAACGAGAGUGUCGUAUUUAUUUCCCACUUCCUCCGAGGGCUAGGCUUUAGUCUUGAUCCCUUCGUCAGAGGGCUUAUGUUCUACUACGGGCUCGAUUUCCAUGAUCUGGCUCCGGAUUCCAUCCUUCACAUCUCGUCGUUCAUCGUUGUGUGUGAAGCCUUCCUCCGCAUCACCCCACACUUCGGCUUAUGGCUCAAGACCUUCAAUGUGAAGCCGAAGAUGAUUGAGGGGCGACACGCAGAGUGCGGAGGCUCCAUAAUAAACAAAGGCGCCGAUGCUCCAUGGCCAAAGGGCUCCUUCCCGGAGACAUGCAAGUUAUGGCAGCGGGAGUGGUUUUACAUCACCGUCCCCGAAGCGCUAAGUGGGUAGCUGCCCCCGCCUUCCGUCCGGGCCCGCCGCCACAAUUGGCGUCAUGGGUCAACAAAGGGCUGGACUGGGGGCCAGCUAAUGAUGUGCCGACGCUGCAGAGUCGCAUCCGAGAUCUCUUCAAAGGAGAUGCCAGCCUUGUUAAGGUGAUGCAAGUCAUGCUAGUUCGCCGGGUCCUGCCAUGCCAACGUCGACCUCUCCGUAUGUGGGAGUUCAACCCGGAAGGACCGCGAACUAUUCAGCAAUUCUUCGGCGCGACGCUCGAAGAGAUGUAUGGAUUGUUCUUCGGAUCACGAAUAAAGUGUCCGGACACCACCGAGGAUGCGGGUCUGAACUGCAAUCGUCCAGACACCCAAGUAAGUAAUUCCGCGGCCGAACACGGUGUCUUUUAAUUUACCACAACAUCAUUCUGAAAAGUCGCCUUUUGACCAGGACUGGAUAAAAAAGGCGAAGAUGAUCAGGUGUUCGGCUCCCCUUCCCGAGGGCCCACCAGAUCCUGUACUAGCCAGGAUGCUCGAGCUUGCGCCUUAUCAAGCGCCAUCAGGGGAAGAUAAAGGGAGGCGCAAAGAAGCCGAAAGCGAGCCUCACUCAUUAUUCAUCCAAACCAGGGGAAUUAGUGCCUCCGCGAAGGAGGAUAACCGGGGAGAAGAAUCUAAAAUUCCCUCUCCCCAAGGAAGGAAGAGGGCUGCCUCUGAAGACUUGGAAACAAUGGUUUUCAAACGAGGGCUGCUUCGAGGGGGCCCUACCCCGGAGGGCAUCCUUACCGCAUAGUACCCGCAAGGGGACCAGCCCUCCACCGAGCUGCAAGUAAACAAAAGUACUUUAUAGUAAAUAUACCCUGCUUCCUUUCUGAGAACAAUAACCGAGACGUAUGUCUUGUACUUCGUAUCGUAGCCCUUCUCGACAGAGUUCGUCUUCGGGGGAUCUUCUUCCGGAGAUGAUGGAGAGCGAAACGCCUCCCCGUGCCUCCCCGCCUCGUGAAGCGGACGACCCUGAGGUGUCGUCACUGAGUAUUUCUCCUGAUCCGCCAAGGCCAGAGGGUAACCCUUCGGCUACCCGAAGUCCGGAGUAUUCGGCUCCUAAGGAGAGCAACAGAAAGAGUCCGGGACUGUCCGGUGCGCGACCAGACGCACUGAUGAAUCUUCUGGAGCAAGCGGCUAUCUCAGAAGCGCACCGUACGCUAAUGGGUACGGUGGUUGAGAGGAUUUCCUCCGCCGAAAGAGGGUUGCAUGAAGCUUUUAUGAGCCUGCUGAGAGGCUUUUAGGUACGCAGAGUAAUAUAUAUUUUUUGAUGGUACCGCACACGCUAGGUGUGCCCUAUGCAGAUAGUAGCCCCUGAGACCCUGGUUGUUGUCGAAAAAGACGGCAGGUAGAGGAUCAUAGUCCCAGGUAAUAACCGUGUUGCUUUCACGUGCAGGCGGCUGAGGGUCCGGUGGCUAGCCGGACUGGUGAGUUUGCCGAACUGAAGCGGCAGAUGCCGACAUCGUGCUUGUAAACAAGUGGCUUGACGAGGCACGGGGUACGUAUUCUCCUAUGAUCAACACGUAUUAAGAGGAGCAUGAUGCUAGUAUCUGUAAUAUGUUGUGACUGCAGAUGGAGCUGCCGCCGUGGAGACCCUUCGGGCGGAACUUGCCCGAGCCAAGGAACAAGCCAGGAGGAGUGAUGCGGCCGCCCUAAAGGCGGUCGAAGAGCGAAGAGCCGAACAGGCUGCGCAUUGCCAGAGCAAAGAGAAAAUAGCCAAGAUGGCUGUUGAAUUGAAAGAUGCCGCCGACCGUUAUGAGCUUCUUGAAAAGAAAAGCCGAACGAAGACGGCGGACCUGGAGAAAGCCACGGUAGCAGCCAAGGAAGCCCGCUCUAAAAUCAGAGCGGCGAAGGAGGAGCUAUGUCAAGCCGAAGAUACCGCGGCUGGGAAGCCCUUUUUGUUGCGGACUAAGUUCAGAGAUCCUAAGUAUGCCCUUCUGGAUCAAUUAUGGAGUUCUGCGGACGCGUACCUGGAUUUGGCAGCAAGUGAUGCUGAUGCGACCAAGUUUUUCGAAGAUCAAAAAGAUCAUGAGGUGGAAAAGUUGUUCUGGUCGCAGUUCAAUGCUCCGGCGCGUCCGCUGCUGUUAAAUGAGCAAAUGACCGAGUGGGCCGAGCUCCAUAGGUUGUCCGGGCUUGCCAUGAGGUCUGUUGUGGAUCAUCUUUGGCCGGAAGGACCAAGGCCGAAUAGUUAUUUUGGCUUAGUGCAACAAUUCCUUGGUGCUGUGCCGCAUAUCGACGCUGUGAAGAGGUCGGCGUGCAUAGAGGGUGCGCGGAUGGCUCUUGCCCGUGUCUAGACAUACUGGGCAGGGAUGGAGGCCACCGCCAUUGCAUCCCAGAGUUCGGUGGUAGGCCGGGUAUCGGCCGAGCACUAUUUUGAAGAAGUCUUAGAAGACGCUCGUUUAAUAGAGGCUCAGUGCUCGAAGAGUAUCAUGUUCUAGUGACAUGUAUCCCAAUUGUAAGAACAAUGUUAUUUGAAUUAUAAAGGCUGUGUUUAUACUUUUGCCUAAAAGUAUUAUUAUGCCUCCUGUGCGGUCGUUUAUGUAUAUAUGUAUAUAACCUGAAAGUUUGCAGUCGUCGGCUUCAGCCCCCACGCAUAUAAUGCGGGGGUGUUCGCAAAAGCGCGUCUUCACACUUGAUCCAACGUCUUGGUUCAUUAAGGAGGUGGUAGCGCGGCGAACGAGGCAAUCAGACUAUAUUGCUUUAACACUUUCACUUAACCAUAGGAGUUUGACAGUGGGGCUACUAUAUAGCCCCUGGUAUUUUCGCGGCUAUCCGAAUACGGUGCGCGUACGUACAUGACCGGGAAAACCGGUCCUUCGUUAAUGCGGAGGAAUGCCGAAGAUUCCGCUAAGUCAUCGAGUGGUUGACCAGUCUCGCGCUUUAUCAUGACAGUCAGUUUUCGGCUUUCUCUACUGAGGUGCUCAUCCGGAUGAACCAGGGCACAAUCGCAGUAGUUCUCCCGGUGCCACCUUUGCCGAUAGAGCGGAACGUAAGGUAGCAAAACGCGGGAGCCGGGCAAACCCAACAUUUGACCAAAGACAUGAUUCGGAGCUGAUGCAUAUAAGGCCAAACUCGCGACGCCGAGCACUCCCUAAGGUAUUCGGUCUUUACAACAUAUACCGGGCUGAGUAACGCCCUUGAGAAUGAACCCCGAGUGUCCAGGUACGUACAUUAUUCUGACGUGACGAAAUGCCAGUAACGUCAGUAUCCCUCUCGGUUAUACAGAGUAUCCGGAGGAUGUGAAGCAACAAGAGACAGUAAAAUAGGUUUACACAUGGUCUUAAUCUAAAAAAAAACUUUGAGCAGGGCCCUGCUGCACGUCUGCGCCUGUGUCUCCGUUGUGCCGUAUCCUGAAAGGGUGUAGCACGAUUAUCAUCUGUAAAAGAUAAGAACUUAGGUGAAAGUUGUCGUGCGAAAAAUUGGUUAUUCUUAAUAAACAAUUAAAAUUCAAGAUAAGUAAGGUCGAGCUGAACUGUAGUAUUGUUUACAUGCGGGAAGCCCCUGGUACCGCCUAUGGGGGUAUAUCCAUCAAACCAAUCUCAUGUUUAACUAAGCUGUUACAGCUAGUGAUGCGCCGGACUCGUCUAGCCGUGUCCGCGGUCCUGACGACCGAUCAUUUAUUCAGGUUGGAGAGGCCGUUUAAAGUCCCAUUCGGAUAUGGGACGAAGUCUUCAAUCUUGUAUCUUCAUAGUCCAACAGUCCAGCCAAAGGAUAUAGUCCGGCUGUCCAAGGACCCCCUAAUCCAGGACUCCCUCACCCACCCAGACCACCUUUUCUCUUUUCUUUAUUCUUUUUUUAUUUCUCUCUCUUCAUCUCCACCAAUCACGGGCAAGUGACCGAACAUAUGAGGAAAAAAAUGAAGAGUGUGGCUGCGCAAACGGAUAAAUAGGGGCUUAAAAUAGACACACCCGGUCACUGACCGGGCGCAUCCACGGACAUUUAAAGGGUUAUAUUUGCUAUGUCCGGCUGUAGAUGCUCUAAUUCCACCUCUUUAUCGGUCCUAUUGCAUAGCGCUUCAUGUCUCUUUGCUCCACUUUUCUUGCCUUUGUGAGAAAUCUUAUGUAUGACUUACCGAGAGUUGGUCGAGGAUAUUUUGAGAAAGUUGAUCCAAGCGAAUUUGUUUUGCUUGCUACUCUUAGAGAGUGCACACCUUUUAAAUGAUUUUGAUGGUAUCAAGUAGUCAUCGUGGCAUAUGUGCGCCAGAGGCUUCAUAUGAGGUUUUUGCGACCCACCUUGUGGAAGCCAUUGUGUUCAAAUCUUCACCACAACAACGAGGAGUAAAACUGGGCCCGCAAUCCUAACAUUAGGGUAACACAAAUCACUCGAUUGCUUGCAUUUCAUUAUGCAAUUAGAAAUAGGAACAGUAAAUUAAAACUCACCAGUAAAAAUGCGUUGUCUUUGUCGUAUUAUUAACCCCCUAUUUUAUCACGUAAUUAUUAUCUCACACAAAAUUAGACCAAAACUCUUCAUGAGCACGGUGGUGCCAUGGUCUCCCCGCUUCUCGGCGCCCAAAAUCGACUGCCGGUGACGGGGGAGACCGGUGGAAUUAGCAGGCGACGACGAGGAGGGCCGUGUUACAUGCUAGGUUUUUUCUUCUUCUUUUUAGAUCACAUUUGGGUUUCUCAAAAAAGAAAAGAAAAAGGAGGCCACAAGUUUUCGACCAUGACCAUGUCGCCUGACACUGGCAAGCGCCCAUGUGUUUGCGGAACACUUGGACGAGCACUGCCAACAGACAACUGGUCCCUGCGUUGGGCUUCUCAAAUACUAAGUUUCUCUGAUUGAAAAGGAGGUUUUCGAAUUUCGACCGUGUCGCCGGAGACCGAUAGCUGUGGCCACACACAGUGACGUCCCAGUUAAACUAGCACUUUACCGCCGGACAAAAAUGUUCUUAAAUUAACCAGCACCGUUUUAAUUAAUCAACCAGCACUGCCGCCGCUGUGCAAAACAAAAACAUCUUCAAACAUAAGGAUUAACCUAACAAUCGGUCGCUGUCUCGGCGCCGAUUGACGUCGACAACGGCAGCUUCCGGGCAGCUUCGCGCGCUCGUCCGGAGCGUUGCGGCUAAGCUAGGGAUCGCGCCCCCCGCGUUGUGUUCGCCGACACGUCGCCGAUCUGACCCGGACCCGGAUCGCUUUGCUUGCCUCUCUUCUUUUCUUCCCUACCUUAAUCAUCGAGCGGUCCUGGUCGAGGUCGGCCACUCAGCCCACUCAUGAUGCCCCUACGUACUCCACUCGUGGUUGAUCGUGUCAAAACACUAGCUAGGGUCUGCGAGGAAAGCAAUGGCGGCCAAUCGGCUGCCCACGCGUGGGGGUGCACGUGGCAGAGAUCGUGUGGCUAGGCGUCUGUACUGUAGUGUGUUAAAAAAUAACUGAUAUCAUGUCACUAAUAUGGUUGUUAAUUGCGGCGUCGAGUCAGUGGGUGAGCAGGUCGCACGGAUCUCUCGCCCCGUCGCUCGCCGGGUCUCCAUCCUUCUUUGACUAGACUAAUUUAAUCGGCCGAACUAUGGUAAACAAACGCGCGCGUCGACGUCGUGUCCGGCCGAGCUCUAACAGCUAGUACCAGCUCGCACCCCACCUCCCUCCGCCUACAUAUACGAGGAGCCCAUCAAUGGAGCAACAAGAAAGAAGCUCACCAUCGGAGUUGGAGCUAGGAGAAGGAGUUCUCGCCGCAAAGCAUCUUGCAGGCUAGGAAAGAAAGGAAGAAGGGAAGGGCACAUGACGUGCGCGGUGGCACCGGGCUCGCCGGUCUUCUCGCCGUCCCGCCUCGGCCUGCUGGAGCAGCUGCAGCUCCACCACCAUCACGGCUGCUCCAGCGGCGGCGCCUCCUUCCUCCCCUCCUCGCCGCUGCGCCCCUUCGCCCUCCGCGCGCGCAUCCACCCCGAGCCCUCCCCGUGCGCCCUCCAGGCGCCGCCGCCCGCCGUGAAGGCCGCGGACCCUGCUGCGGCUAAGGCCCCGGUCAAGCGUCGCCGCCCGGCGCCUCUCCUCGUGCCGGCCGCGGUCACCGUCGCGCCGGCGGUGCUGGAAGCCGCCGCGGCGAGCGGGGUGGACGAGGUGGCGGAGCAGGGGGACGGCUUCGCGGCCUUCUGCCGGAGGGGGAAAGGCCGGAAGCGGGUCGAGAUGGAGGACCGCCACGUCGCCGCCGUCGGGCUCGGCGGGGACCGCGCGCAGGCCCUCUUCGGCGUGUUCGACGGCCACGGCGGGAAGAGCGCCGCGGAGUUCGCCGCGGACAACAUGCCGAGGAUCGUGGCGGAGGAGCUGGAGAGGUCGGCGCGCGGCAGAGGGGCAGGGCGCGCGGCGGUGGAGGGCGCCGUGCGGCGGGCGUACCUGCGCACCGACGAGGAGUUCUCCUCCUCCUCCUCCAAGAACCGGGAGCAGGCGGGCGGCGGCGCCUGCUGCGUGACGGCGCUGCUCCGCGAGGGCGGGCGGCAGCUGGUGGUGUCCGGCGCGGGGGACUGCCGCGCGGUCCUGAGCCGCGGCGGCAGGGCGGAGGCGCUCACCGACGACCACCGCGCGUCGCGGCAGGACGAGCGGGACCGGAUCGAGGCGCUGAAAGGUGGGCUGGUGCUCAACUGCCGCGGCGUAUGGCGGGUGCAGGGCUCGCUGGCCGUGACCCGGGGCAUCGGCGACGCGCACCUCAAGCCGUGGGUGGUGGCGGAGCCGGAGACUAAAACUGUCGACGUGGGCGCCGACUGCGAGCUGCUCAUCCUCGCCUCCGACGGGCUGUGGGACAAGGUGGGCAACCAGGAGGCCGUCGACGCCGCCGCCUCCUCCUCCGGCGACCUCCCCGCCGCGUGCCGCCGGCUCGUCGACAUGGCCGUGUCCAGGGGCUCCUCCGACGACAUCAGCGUCCUCGUCGUCCAGCUCCAGCGCCGUCCUCUCCGAUAAGACUGUAGUAGUAGUAGUAGUAGUAGUAGUAAGAGUUUAAUUAACACGCGAGAAGAUGUGCAUCGGCGCCAUGGAUGAUCACCCUACGUGUAGAUAUAGAGAGCUUUUUGACGUCGUCUCUCUCGUCCCCGGCCGCUCGAUCAGGCUGCCGGUGUCUGUAACAAAGAUCAAGCACUGUUAGUGCUAAUAAUCAUCACCCGGUUGGGAUUUCCAUCACCCUGGGACGAGAACGAUAAAUCUUCAGUUAAAAGGGCAGAGAUGUGUCACCAUGUGUGAUCUUGCGUUCAUGGGUAUACUCUCGGAGUUGGAAUGAAGCACACGUGCGACAGUGCAAC